rnacentral:lncRNA from 1 species
CUUCUUCUUCUUCUUCUUCUUCCUCUUCGCACCUGUUUCCCUCUUUUCGGCCGGGUAGGCCGACGGAAGGAACUUUUGGUCCUUCCUUUUUUCGAGUGCCGGACGUGCUACCACCAAGCCACGAAUUUGGCUUGGAUGGAAUGUGAGUGUAUGUUGGAUAUGUUGCUCUUCUAACUUCUAAUCAAACGAUUGUUCGGCCUCCUCACGGCCUAGGUUAUUUCACUACCUUGGGGUCAAAGUUUUAUGUGAGCAACCAAAUGAUGUGGAGUGGGUGGAAAUGAAGAUUGAAGGUGAAACAUAAUGAAACGAAGAACAAGUGCGGAAAAUAAAGGUGCUUAAACUUAAAUAUAAUUUAAAGAUAAAUGCGUAAAGUAAAGUGCGUAAAAUAAAUAACGUAAAGACGAGAAUUAAAGUGAGAUAAAAUAGAUUAAAGCGAUAAAUUAACAAGAACGAAAUAAGAACGGUAAACUAAAUUAAACUCAAAUUUAAACUUAAUGAAAAUUCAAUAACAAUGAAAAAGAAAGCGAUUGAAAUAAACUUGAAUUUAAAUGACAAGGUAAUGUAAAUUGCAAGAAUUUAAACUUACACUAAGGAAAUGAAGGACUUGCUACACUAGGUGCUUGAAAAGUAAAAUCCUAUGUCUAAGAAAAGAAAAGUGCGAGAUGAAAAAUAGGUUUGUGUGUCUGAUGAUGUGUGUCUUCUGCCUUCGUUUGGUGAAGUUUAUAUAGAGCGUCCGUUAGACCAUGAGCUGGCCAUUGAAUGGCCAAAUGUCAACUCUUUUAAAAUUCUUUCCUUUUGAGGCCCCCUAAAUCCGUAGAACACGUCGGCGGAGAUAUUAUGGUUGCUUGAUUUUCUCUCGUUUUGGGAAAUUCUGAAUCAUCAUCAACCUCCUUGAUUUUUUUCCUUGUGAGACCUUUGUCACGUGCACAUUGACCUCCGAAAAUCUUGGGCGCUAAUCCGUGGCUUGGGCUUGGACCUUUGAGAUUUCAUCUUGACAUCUGGUGGAACCUUGUGCCCUUUUAGUUUUGUGGACCCAUUGUGUCAGCCACCCUUGUAGGCACGUGGAUUGCAAUAUGAAUAUUGCCGUUGAAAUCAAAUGGCCACAAUAAAAACUUGCUUUUGUUUUCUUUUUUCAAAUUGUUCCAACGGCUAUAUGAUCAAAGGCGAGGAUUAAUUCUUAAAUUUCAAUGGAAAUAAAAUAGAUCCAACGUUCAAAAAUCAAAUCCAGUGGGAAUUUUUUUUUUUAAUAGUCUAAAUCAGAUGUAACCCCAAAACUCAUCCCAAACUCUAUAAAUACCCAUCUAUUUGUUAAAUAACCCAACAAAAUCAAUUGUUUUCAUUUCUCACUUUGAUAAUUUUUUUCAUUCUCCUUUUAAUCCUUUUCAAUAUGGCCCCAAAACCCCAAAGAGGUGUGAAUUGGAGACCAUAAGAAGAUGAUGCUUUAUGUAGAGUGUGGGAUGUGAACCAUGUCAGAUAAUAAUUCAAGGAAGAGAUGAGGAGAUAAAGAUGAAAUGAAGAGAAUCCUAGAAAGGAAAAGUUGAAGGAGAUAAAGGAGAUGAGCAAAAGUCAAAAAAUAAUUGAAAGAAGACAAGAGGAGAUGGACACCAAAUCAGAAAAUAAUUCAAGCCAUAUGGGAUAAUAGCCUACAAGUUUUCAUUUUAAUUGAAAAAGUUUGUCGAAUUUUAGUUUUUUUAGGUUAAAAUGUUUGGAAAAAUAAAUCAUGAAGUUAUGAACAAAAAUUAGCUCAAGAAAGUUUCACUAUAAAAAAAAAAAAAUUAGAGAUAAACUAUUUUAAAACAAUUUAAUAAGGCUACGAUGAGUCUGGAGGGUUGGGAAAAAAAACUGUUUGAGUUCGGGCAAUACAUGAAUAGUUGUAUUUUGAAAGGUGAAAAUUUGGAUUUAGCCCCUUUAGCAUUGGAGAUGGCGUUAGAGAUUUGAAACCUCCUUAAAAGGUUUUCCAAAUAGAUAGAGAUAAAUUCCAUGUUAUCUUGCCGAAAGAUCAGUGACUAAACCCUUCAUUAUCUGAGUGAAUUUGAUGUACAUUAACAACUUCCCAUUUGUGUUUAGAGCACAUGAAAAAGUAAAGAAACUCCAUCAAUACAAAAAUUCAGGGAGUAAUCAAGUUCAUGUCAAGUUCAUAGUCUUCUUUUAGUAAGUAAAGCUCUACUGGUUGGUUCUGGUUCUGAAUCAGUGAAACGAGAAGUAUUAAUAUUUUUCAAUUUUAUAGAGAAGUAUUAAUUACAUAACUUUUGCUUUGUGUCUUCUCUUCCUACCCAUUUAAUUUACCAAGCCAUUAGUUUGAAACCCAUCAUUAGUUUGAAAACCAAAAGAUAUGAUAUAUUAUGAUAGUGUUUUUUUUUUUUUAAUACAAGCAAUAUUGGAGGAGUGAAUUGAACCGCACAAGUAUACUUCAUCAUCAUUCAACUCUGCUGCAGUCAUAUAGAGACCUCCUAGAUUCAUGCCUUUCAAAAUGAACUGUUCAAGAUGAAGUUGAUGUUGGCGUGACUUGUGGAUAUUGACUUACUUUCCUUACACACCAAGAAUUUCCAUUAUAAUUGUAAUUGAUUUACUUUAAUUCCUGAUUUCCUAUUGUAAAUAGAUUUAGGAAUUUAUUAUUUACUUGCCCAUUCAGGUUUCGUUGUAUUAUAAAUAUGACCUCCUACAAGGAGAAGAAUACACAGAAAAUUCCCACAAACAAAUAUUCUCUCAUAAUUUUCAUAUUUUAGCAUGGUAUCAGAGCGGCGAUCUUGGAAUUGCUGACUCUAGUUUCAAAACCCCGCCGCCGCUAUGAGGGUUGAUGAUUUUUUCAACCCUGAUGGAGGUAGCACCACCGACUCCUUCUCUCAUUCUCAACCAACCAUCGUUGAGUUGAGUGCCCAGAUGGCUCCGCCCCUACAGAUGCAGACUUUGACCCCGAACCCGAUCCAGAAUCAGGAUCCUCUUUUAACGACCCCGACCCCGACCCCUACUAUGACGACGACGACCCCGACCCCGACUCCGAAGACGACCCCGACCCGCACUCCGAUGAUGACCCCAACCCCGAAUUUUGUCUAUGAUUCAGACCCCGAUCCAGAAUCAGGAUCCUCUUUUGACGACCCCGACCCCGACUAUGAUGACGACGACCCUGACCCCGACUCCGAAGAUGACCCCGACCCCCACUCCGAUGAUGACCCCAACCUCGAAUUUGUCUAUGAUUCAGACCCCGAUCCCGAUUUUGACUCUGACUCCGACCCCGACUCAGGCUCAGAUUCCGAUCCAAAUUCCUACUCAACCUGUAUCCUAUACUUCUUCCGCUGCACAGAUUAUGACUUCUAGACUAACGACCCCGACACAUGGACCAAAUUGCGCAUAUUGUGGUGAUCCGAGACACACUUGUGAGACUUGUUUUACAUCGCAUGGCUACCCUGAUUGGUGGGCUACUCUUACAGAUCGAGGACAAUGCAAUAUGACCCGUAAUGGUCCUGGUUAUGGAUUCCAUACUUCCGAUAAGAUUGAUUCCAAGAGCUGGAUAAUUGAUUCUGGUGCAACUGAUCAUAUGACGUUUGAUCCUGAUGAUUUUCUGAAUACUACACAACCUCGACGAACCUGUAUUGCAAAUGCCAAUGGUGUUACUUAUCCUGUGACAGGGGCUGGCACUGUUGCACUCUCAUCCUCUCUCACACUGUCUAAUACUUUACUUGUUCCAUCUUUAUCCACUAAAUUGUUCUCAGUUAGUCAGCUUACUGAACAAUUGAAUUGUUGUGUACUCAUUUACCUGAGCUUUUGUUUGCUUCAGGAUAUUCACACUAAGGAGAUUCUUGGUCGUGGUACUAAGAGAGGGGGGCUAUAUUAUGUCGAUGACUUCAGUCCCGGCGUGGCUAACAGUGUGACACAUCCCUUUGAUAGCAAACGCAAGCAAAUCUGGUUGUGGCAUUGUCGAUUGGGACAUCCGUCUUUUAGUUAUAUGAAGCAUCUUAUACCAGAUUUAUUCUCCGGUUUCAAAGACUCCGACUUCACAUGUGAUACUUGUAUUUUGGCCAAGAGUCACCGUGUGCCCUACCCGUUGAGUACAAACAAGUGUACUACUCCAUUUACAUUAAUUCACUCUGAUGUCUGGGGACCUUCGCCUAUCACUGCUCCUUCUGGUGUUCGAUGGUUUGUCACAUUCAUCGAUGAUUGUACACGGAUGACAUGGCUUUAUUUGCUGAAGAAUAAAAACGAAGUGUUUUCCCGUUUUCAGUCCUUCCACAAACAGAUGAAAACUCAAUUUAAUGCUCAAAUCCAGAUUCUUCGCUCAGACAAUGGUGGAGAAUUUGUCAAUCAUGACUUUCAGACUUACUUCCAACAACAUGGAAUUAUCCAUGAGACGACUUGUCCUCAGACACCGCAACAAAAUGGUGUUGCUGAACGAAAGAAUCGACAUCUUCUUGAAACCGCCCGAGCACUUCUGAUUGGCGCUCAUGUUCCUCGCCAUCACUGGGAUGAUGCUAUUGUCACUGCAGUUUACCUGAUCAACCGCAUGCCUUCUGGUGUAUUGACCUUUAAAACUCCUUUACAGGUGCUUGAGCAACACAGACCUCUGCCCUCUGUUUUGGUACUCACACCCCGAAUCUUUGGAUGUGUGGCUUUCGUUCAUCUCCACAAAAAUCAACGUAGCAAACUUGAUCCCUGUGCGCUUCGUUGUGUUUUUGUGGGUUAUGCCACUCAUCAGAAAGGUUACCGCUGUUAUCACCCUCCUACUCAACGAACCUAUGUCACUUUGGAUGUGACUUUUCUGAAAUCUGAGCUGUUCUUCCAUGACCCAUCAUCCAAUUCUGCGCUUCAGGGGGAGAUACAAAGUGAAGAACAGAAUUGGAGCAACUUGGAAAACAAAGAAAUUCUCCUAUGUACAGAAAUGAUUGAUCAUCCCGAGUCUGGAGCACGAGAUUACUCUCUGUUGAAAAGUGACCAAUCGCCCAUUCAUAGCGAUCAAUUGCCUGACCCACCUGCUCCAUGCGAAGAUAUUUCUGAUCCGAGUCCCACACCUACAGACAAUACAGAACAACAAGAUGAAGAUCCCCCUUCUAACUCAACAGUACCAACAGACCAAUCUCCUGAGAAUAUCCUUGAGGUAACUACUCAUACUAGACUUGUGCAUUUAGAUGAUAAAACUAUUGGAUAUCAAUUACCUUUCAGGCAAAAUCGUGGGAAGCCACCCAACCGUUAUUCACCGGAUAUUGGCAAGACAUCCAAGUAUCCAAUUGCAAAUCAUGUAUCCACUGAGAAGCUGUCUGAACCACUCAAGGCUUUUGUGCAUCAGUUGUCUGCUAUCCAUAUUCCAACCAAGGUCUCUGAAGCAUUGAAGGAUCCUAAGUGGGUCCAAGCUAUAAAAGAGGAGAUGAAAGCUCUUGAGAAAAAUCAGACUUGGACAUUGGAGACUAUACCACGAGGAAAAAAGACUAUCGGAUGUAGAUGGGUGUUUACUAUAAAACACAAUGCAGAUGGAUCUAUCGAGCGAUACAAGGCAAGACUUGUGGCAAAAGGGUACACACAGACCUAUGGUAUAGACUAUGAAGAAACUUUUGCACCAGUUGCAAAGUUAAACACCGUCAGAGUCUUAUUGUCCCUUGCAGCUAAUUUGGAUUGGCCACUACACCAGUUUGAUGUAAAGAAUGCUUUUCUACAUGGCGAACUCACGGAGGAGGUGUAUAUGGACAUUCCUCCUGGGUAUAAUACUACUCAGACUGGAACAGUUUGCAGGUUACGAAAAGCAUUGUAUGGAUUGAAACAGUCACCACGUGCACGGUUUGGACGGUUCACCAUGGCAAUGAAGAACAAUGGUUUCAAACAGUGCAACUCAGAUCAUACUCUGUUCUUGAAACAUCAAAAAGGGAAGGUAACAGCAUUAAUAAUCUAUGUUGAUGAUAUGAUUAUUACUGGGAAUGAUAAACAGGAAAUAUCACAGCUACAAGACUAUCUGGCUACGGAGUUUGAGAUGAAGGAUCUAGGUGGACUCAAGUAUUUCUUGGGAAUUGAGGUGGCUCGAUCGCAGCAAGGCAUAUUUCUCUCUCAAAGGAAAUAUGUCUUAGACUUGUUGACAGACACAGGAAUGCUAGAUUGUAAACCUGCGGACACUCCUAUUGUUCAGAAUCAUCAUCUUGGAGAAUAUCCGGAUCAAGUUCCAACUAACAAAGAAAGAUACCAAAGGUUAGUGGGAAGAUUGAUCUAUUUGUCACAUACUCGACCAGACAUUGCUUAUGCGGUGAGCGUUGUCAGUCAAUUUAUGCACUCUCCAAGUGAAGACCACAUGAAUGCAGUUCUUCGGAUACUUAGAUAUUUGAAGUCUGCACCUGGAAAAGGACUUAUGUUCUCAAAGCAUGGUCAUCUAAAUAUUGAUGGUUAUUCAGAUGCAGAUUGGGCAGGUAAUGUAACAGAUAGAAAAUCCACAUCGGGUUACUUCACAUUCGUGGGAGGUAAUUUGGUGACAUGGAGGAGCAAGAAACAGAAUGUAGUAGCUUUAUCCAGUGCAGAAGCCGAGUUCAGAGGCAUGACUAAAGGGAUUUGUGAACUUCUUUGGUUAAGAAAGUUGCUUAUUGAACUCGGGUAUAAACCUACAUCCACAAUGAAUCUCUUUUGUGACAACAAGGCUGCUAUAGCCAUUGCACAGAAUCCGGUUCAGCAUGAUCGUACUAAACAUGUUGAGGUGGAUCGACACUUCAUCAAACAAAAGCUUGAGGCUAAAGUGUUUCAGUUUCCUUUUGUGAAAUCCGAGGAUCAAUUGGCGGAUAUUUUAACAAAGGCGAUUUCCAGUAAAACAUUCCACAAUUCACUGGAUCAGUUGGGCAUUGGCGACAUCUAUGCACCAACGUGAGGGGGAGUGUUGGCGUGACUUGUGGAUAUUGACUUACUUUCCUUACACACCAAGAAUUCCCAUUAUAAUUGUAAUUGAUUUACUUUCAUUCCUGAUUUCCUACUGUAAAUAGAUUUAGGAAUUUAUUAUUUACUUGCCCAUUCAGGUUUCGUUGUAUUAUAAAUAUGACCUCCUACAAGGAGAAGAAUACACAGAAAAUUCUCACAAACAAAUAUUCUCUCAUAAUUUUCAUAUUUUAGCAGUUGAAAUUCAAAACAACAGAAGAGAUUCUUAGAUUGUUCCCUUUUCAAGGUAAUCAAAACAACAAUGGAAGACAAAUAUAUAAGCAUAUAUUGGUAAUAUUAGUUCUUAUGUUAGAACAUCUUUAAAUUUUCAGGCGUCCACUGCCUUCAAUAUUCAGAUAGGACUCGGUAGUACUAGUGGAUUCAUAACAAAAUAUUCAGCUUCCAUUGCUUCGUCCAUCAGGCUUCUCUUUUAAUUUUUCUACUUGAACUGAUCGUCCGGCGUCUGUGGCCUUCCCCUAAAACAAAAAGAGGGAAGGAUAACACAUGUGUUAAGCAGAGCAGCCCUAAUGGAGCACAAAUUCACAAAUUAACCAAUAGAUAACGCACCUGACAAGGUGCACUUUGCGGCUUCUGUAGCGCGGAAAAGGACAACAUCAAUUAAACGUUUGAUGGCAUUAGUCAACACAAAGACACACACAUCUCCGAUUUCCAACUGAUUGUCUUGCACAAAUUUCCUCCAACCAGUCUGAAAUCUGAGUAUACCUUUGCCUUGUUGGCCUAAUGAGACAGGCCAAGUUCUUCCAUCUGAAACACGAAGGAUGGCAUUCUUAUGACUCCGUUUAAGAAGAUGUUCCUUGAUGAACUUAGCUCCUAUAUGCUGAAAGGAGAAAGAGAAGCAGGUUAAAACUGAAAAUUUUGGAGUGUUUAUGAUGUAAUUUGCUAGCUAUUCUUUUCACACUGACAUACGCAGAUAGAAGUUAGCAGAAGUUGUGCAUGAUGUCUCUAUAGAAAGCUUACCAAAUAACCUGCACUGAUAUAUGAGGGAUGCAAAACAACCGUGGAAGAAGGGUAUUCUGAUCUGAAAGCCUUUGCUCUCUGAAGAGCUCUAUCUGUUCCGCUUUCCGUAACUGGAUUCAUCAUCCUAGAAACCUGAGGUCUUCGUUUUAGGAAUUUUUGACUCCUAGACGAGCCACCAACACUUCUGAUGUUAUUUUCUGCUGUACUAAUCGAACAUGUUCUGUUUUUCUUUCUAGGCUGUGGUGCUAUUGGAGAUUUCUUCCUUGUUUUCAGGCAUGGUGGAAAAUAGUCCAAGAGUUCAACAGAAUCAUAAUCUUCAUCAGUUUCUUCCAUCUCGGACAUUGUUUGUUCCCCAUCAACAUCUGUAGGCAUAUAAAAAAGAGAGAUGAAGGUAACAUAUAGUUUAUCUCUGUGGUGCUUCGAUUGAAUUAGUUCAAAAAUUGAAAGACAACUUACCCGGUGACAAGGUGUUUGCAGCUUCUGUGGCACGGAAAAUGACAACUUCAAAAGUAAGUCUAAUGUCGUCAACCAACACAAAGACACACACAUCACCAAUUUUCAAAUUAUUGUCUCGUGCAAAUUUAAACCAACCAGACUGGAAUCUGGCUUUUGGUUUUGCCCUUUCACAUUUCAAUCCAAGACACCAAGUUCUCCCAUCCAAAACCCGAAACAUAACGUUGCCAGAAUUGUUACUAAGACGUGUCAUAUGGAACGAAAAAUCGGAUGGCAACCACUGAAAAUAAUUAAAUGGAAAACAAGAAAAAGACAAUAAGAAAAUGUUGAAGAGAGAGUACCAUAAUUGUGCUCUGUGAAAGUACAGUUGCUUAGUUCUUUUUCAUACUGUAUGAUCUAUAAAUACAAGUUAACAGAAGUUGUGAUGGCAAGCACGGUUGUCUAUUGAAAGCUUACCACAAAAGAUCGAUUGGUAGAAGAUCGCGUCAUGGGAACUAUGAAAGAAGGUUUGUCAGAUUUGAAAGCCUUGGCUCUCUGGAGAGCUAUAAAUUUUGCACUUCUAGUUCGUUUUAUGAAUCUUCGAGUGGUAGACGUGCCACCACAAUGUCUUUUGGCAGGAAACUCAGAUUUUCCUGUUAAAGGAAAUAAUAGGAUAUUACAAGUUAGAACAGAAUGGAAGAAAACGCAAUAAAGUUGAAGAUAAAAAGCAAAACACAUAUGCUGUAAUUUUCAUGUCUGAUUUCAACAGAAGAGAAUUCUUAGUUCUAAUUGACUUCUCAAGCAUCAUUUCAUAAGGUUGAGUUUUUUCUUUGUCUAGUUAAGAUGUGGAGCCACAUUGUGGAAGUUGAUGUUGGUUUCUGUUUUAAUACCACUUGAACUUGAUUUUCUUGAGCGGGGUAGAAAUUUGUCCAAGAUUUCAACAGAAUCAUCACUAAAAUCAGAUUCAGAUUCAGAAUCAUCACUAAAAUCAUCAUCAUAUUCAGAUUCAGAAUCAUCAACUUCAUCAGUGUCUUUCAGAUCGGGCGUUGUUAAUGGAUAGGCAAUCUCUGUGAAGUUUCGGUCAAAUAUGCGAACGCAGAAUUUGGACUUCCCUUCAUAGCCAAAAACUAACGAGUGACUGUAGUCUAGAGAGUAAAACUUAGAGAACUUUGGCCAACCCUUGUCCAACCAGGCCUUGUCUUCCCAUUUUCUGAGUUCAAUUUUCCAUUCUGAACCACUUGGAAGCUUGAGAAAUAUUGGAUUCGAUAAAUCAUCUCCAUAUUUCAUCAAAAACUUAUUCGGAAUCCUCUGUGCAACAUAGAACGUGUCAGACAAGUAACAGAUCAUGAAGUGAAAAACAUUUACCCAUACUUUUGUGGCUAAGAAAUGAGUGAUUCAAUAACUAUAUAGCAUAUAGCUACUGCAGCCAAAAAAAAAUAAAAAAAAUUUCACUACCACAUCAAUGUAGAUUCAUUUCUCGCUUUUCACUUCAAGCAGCAGCACACACAAGCAUCAUGAAUACUAACCGUAGAGAAGAGAAAAAAACACUAGCCAUAUAAACAGUAGCAGAAAAUGUUGGCGAGUCAUCAAUUUCGUGCGGAAAAGCAGCCAUAGUUGAACUUCAAAUGUGUUUCAAAGAUUUUUCUCCAGUUUAUGGAACAAAGCUGUGUUUACUCGGUUUAAUCUGAUGGCAAAGUCCCAGAGAUACUAUAAAAGAGAGAGAACUAUUUUUGUCUCUAGAAUUAAGCACUGACAUUUAACUAUGAGUACAUGCAUAUCAUAUCUAAAUUCUAACAGGUUUCCAUGGCCUAAAACAGUUAAUUAGGAAACACCAACCAUGAGCAAACACCAUUAUAUCUCAGCAAAAACAUAAUCAGAAGGAAACUACGGACACCUAUGUGUGGAAACAACUUCCUCAUUAUGCAUGAAUGGCUCUAGCUAGCUAUGUAAAGAGAGCAAAGUAGCUACAUUUCAUGAGAGAGAGAGAGAGAGAGAGGUGCUCACAAGUUUGCUCUGUCUACAAGUAUCCUUUGAGAUAAUCUUUAAGAAAUGGGGAGUGUUAGUGGAAAAUGUUGGCCGGUUAUGAAUUUUCCUGUGUAAAGAAGCCAUUUUUGAAGUUGAAAAGCUUCAAGAUGUGUUUCAAAGCUAUAGCAAUGUGUUGUGUCCUCAGUUCUCAGCUAGAAAAGCAGGGGGGGAGUUUUUAUUUGAUUUGAUGGUGAGUACAUGAGGUAGAUAAUAGAAGAAGGUAGCCAAUUAAUGAACUGUUUGUCCAAUCAACUCAAUUGUCAGGAUUCAACUCACAACUACUCAAAGCUUUAUGCUUGUUUUUUUAGAGGAGUGGACUUUGCAUGUCUUGGGAUAUAAAUUAGUGUGAGUCAAGAGUGAUGAAUGAAUAAAUGUGUGUAGGCUGACUCUGAGUACCAAAUUCCCAUAUUGAUACACGGUCGGUAUUGUUGAAAAUAUUAUCUGUUUUUUUAAGGUUCUAUUUUUCUUCUUGGUAUUUGAUUAAAUAAAAGGUGAGCUUUAUAUUUUGACCCAAUUAUUCACUCAACCUAUCUAUGAAAUGUUCUUGAGUUAUGAGCGUCUUCGAGGGAAGUGUGAAAUGUAAAAUGUUAAAUCUGAAUUUGAUGAUUUAGGUGAUAAUUUGACACUUAUAAAGUUUUUAUCACUAUUCGAGAUGUCAACUAUUAUACUUGAUUAAAUCAAUUUCAUGUUCAUAUGAUAGUUUCACAUCUCAAGUGGAGAUAACAAAUUUAAUUAGUAGAAGUCGGAAAUUAUACUUACUUCUAAUAAAAUUAGACAAAAUUAUCAAAAUUGAGUCAAACUAUAGUUACCAGCUCCAUUCCGUUGACCAAAGUUCCACGUCAACCUCCAAAGCUUUGCUCUUGUCAACAAACAAAAAUCUAAUACAAGAGCUCAAUUUGACCCCAAAAAAAAAAACACACUAGAGCUCAAUGUCAAUGGUAUGUGAACUUCCACGUGGUACCCAAAUGUGAAGCCACGAAAAAAUAUUUUGUGAAAUUGAGAGUCCAUUUACCCUUGUACCCCAUAACUUUCCCUCCUAUGACAGAGAAGCCAUUCUCACAUCCCCAACACACACAAAACUCAUUCUAGCAAAAGGGGUACUUCAUGUAAUUACCUCAACUCUUCAAGGUCAAAAUAAUUCAUGUACUAACAUAUUUCACAAUUUCCUUUUGUGUUUUUAUAUUUUUUGGGUCUGAAUUCCUUCGCUUCCAACAGCUUUUCAUGGCGCUUCUGGUUCCUGGUGGGUGCGUACGAGUAGGCUUUUCACGACCGGCGCACGUUAGACGAAGGCUAACUACGUUUGCUACCGUAUCCCCAACCCGAGGAGAUAGAGUGGACUGGGUCGAAGCAACUUCAGGCUUCUUUGAAAAUGACACGAGGCCCAUCAUGUUAUUUGACGGUAAAGCAGUUCAUUUUAGCACAUAAUCUGAUUGUUAUGUUAUCAUGCGCUUGGUGUAAAUGGAACGCUUUUAAUAUUAUGGGUUGUUUGGUUUUUUCAUUUUAUGGACAAAUAAUUUCUCUGUGUUGUUGAAUGAUGCACCUAAAAAAGUGAUAUUUUUGCAUUAAAAGGCAACCUAAUUUGAUACGUUAUAAGCCAUGUUUAAAAUAAGUAAAAAUGGAAAAUAAAGACUAGAGAUAUUUUUACACAUUUGAUAUGUAAGAUGAUUUUGUUUUGUGGUUUUUAGUGGUUUAUUUAUGUGUAUCUAUCUAUGCUUCUUAUGGUCCUUUAUAUGUUCUAAACGAAAAUGUGUUGAGAGUUAAGUUCAAUUGGUCAAUGUGGACUUGGUUAAACUUCAUCACAUGAUUGCCGAUUUUCGUUUCUUAAUCUUUGUUUUACAGGUGUUUGUAACUUAUGUAAUGGAGGUGUGAAGUUCGUGCGUGAUAAUGAUCAAAAUAGGUUCGAUUCUCCUCCUCCUUUAAUCUUUUGUAGACUCUAAUUAUGAUAUAUGUCAUCCAUAUGUUUCAUGACUGCAAAUGUUUUGGUGUCUUAUGAGGUUUAUCUUCAGUUUUCUUAUUCUUGUUUAACCCACCACUGACAGGAGAAUAAGGUUUGAAGCUCUCCAGAGUGAAGCAGGGAAGAAACUGCUAAGAAGGUCCGGAAGAGCUCCGGAUGAUAUUUCAAGUGUUGUUCUUGUUGAACAGGAUAGGUAUUUACAAUGACUUUUGUGUUUAUUAAGUGCAGUUUCUAAUAAGCUACAAACAUAGUCUGCCUAAGCUGAGUUUACCAUCUUCAAGUUAACUUUAUGAUAAAUGAUUCCGACUUUAAAUUCCAUCUAAAUAGUUGUCAUUUCUUACUUAACGUGUUUUAUUUUCAGUGAAACACUUUCUCAGUUUGAUGCUUCCAACCGCUUACAUUUUUUUAUAUCUUAAAUAACUUAGAAUGUAGCAGAUAUAUCUUAUAAAGGGAUUAUAUGAAUAAAAAUGAGAGCUGACAUGGUGAAUUUUAGAUCCUUCAUCAAGUCAGAAGCUGUUGUGAAGAUAAUGGAAUACAUAGACUUACCCUUCCCCCAGCUAGCAUUCUUUCUACAGUUUGUACCUCUGUAAGUCCUUCCCUGUUUCUUAUUUUAUAUUUUUUGUAUGCUAAGAUUUAAAACUGAUGAAAGAAGCAAUCGAUGAUAAACUGUUUCCAUGACUUUAUUUCUUCUUGACGAAUGCAGUUUCAUACGGGAUUUUCUAUAUGACAAUGUUGCAAACAACCGUUACACAAUUUUUGGUCGCUCAGACGCAUGUGAGCUAUAGGCAAUAGAAUACUUAAUUUUCCUACUAAAGGUAUGUAUAUUGGCAAGUGCGGAUCUGAUGAAUUUUGAUUUUGUAAGCUAAGUUUUGCUUUCAUUAAAUAGAAUAAAAUUUCCUUCAGAGUUGUCUAAUUGACAUUCUCAAGUUGAUUACUAUAUAGUUUAAUUUUAACAAGACAUCUAGAAGUACAGUGUGCAUGUGAAUUGGGAGACUAACUCAUCUUCCAUCAACAAUGCUUGGGGUGUUUAAUCAAAAUGCAGAAAAAUUCUGAAAUAGAAAUUACAGAACUCAUCUACAUUGCUACCUUGACUAAAACAUAGCAUUGUCUUCAUCUACUCCUCCUUAUCCUAGAAGACUCCCUGCUGUCUUUGCUUAUACCCUGUUCCUCUCCCGUGCUAAAAUCUCUUUGUCAGUCCUGUUUUUGUGGUCAAGUGAGCGUGCAUGCACACCCGCAAGUAUGUUAUGAGUAUAUUUGGGGUGAUACCAUAUAGGUAUUUAUGUCUUUCUCACAGCCCUGUUUACCAUCUUGAAGUUUAGUGUUAAACUCAUUAUGCUCAUUCUCAGACGAAAACAAAAGGAAAUUCAAUCAAGGACUAUUAGCAAUGGAAGUUUCAUAAUUUACUAAUUUCAUAUUUCACUUGUCAUUGGCAUGAUCGGUGUAAGCAACCAUCUCGUUAAAGACAAUAUGAACUCUUUACAGAUAAGAAAGAAUAAAAAAUUAUUUAUCAGUAACUUCGUACGAUAUACAUAUAUAUAUGUUUGCACGUAUACAUAUGUGUGUGGUAUAUUCUACAACUUUUGCUAAUUGUGGAAUUCAAAUAAAUAAUACUGAAACAGUGUUCAAGCCAAACUUAGUAUAAAGUGAUCAUUCAUGUAGCUUAAUUUCCUAUAUCUGUUGGAGCACUGUAACUUGAAUAUAGCAUAUGUCAAACUGUAUUCAAAUCUGUAGUAGCUUCUAGUUGUCUGGUUUUCAAGAUAUAUGCAUAGCGUACAUAUACAUGCAUUUACAACAUCUGAACAUUCACAAAUAUACAUCCAUAUGUCAGCAGUAAAGUUAGAUUCACUUUAGAUAUGCAUGUGUUUCAGCCUUUUCUGAUAUAAGGAAGUAUAAUUUGUGGUGUGUUCUGUUUUUCUUUUUCUUUUUUCGGUCUUGUUGAGGAGGUGGUGUUAUACCUGAAAUUCUUGAGUAGGCAGUUGAGUUCUCAAGAAUAUUCAUUUGAUUUCUAGAACUUAAGGCAGAUUUUUCAGUGCCUUAAGACCAUAUAGCUUACCAAAGCCAUAUGUGUAUCUGCAAUGAAUGAAAAAACAUAAAACUUAAUCAGAGACUGGAGGUUGAUUAAUUUUCAUUGGUAUUCAGUAAAUUGCCUAAAGGAAAGAAACUUACCCAAGAAUUAAGAUAACAAGAGCACCGCUCCCUAGCACAUAUUGAUAGCCCUUGUGCCUAGGUUUAUGUUUGCCGUCAUAGGUUGAUGGAAGAUGCUUACGGCGUAUAUAACCGUAUUGAGGACGAACAAGAAUAAUAAAGCCAAGGAAAAAUCCUGCAAGGAAUCCUCCUAUAUGAGCUGAAUUGUCCACUUUAGGUAGAAACCCGACAGCCAUAUUCAGGGCAAUGACGACAAUGAGUAUCAGGAGCGCUGUGCACUGAAUAGCAAAGUUAGAUCUUAGAUGCAUCCCUCAUAGAUCUGUGCUUAUAAUUAUAGUUGUGCUUAAAAUUUGUAUGAGCUUGCCAUAUAUGGUCUACCUCUCAGAACAUACAUGUGAUCUUACAAUAUAACAGUGAGUGCCACAUACAUGUUAGAGGUCAUAUUGAUUGUAUUUGAUGGCGGUUCACGGGCAUAGUUGUGGGUUCUUUGACUUACCAAUUAAUAGUGAUUGAAAGCCAGAGAAAGAGAAAAGAAAGGUUACCUUAUUUACAUAGAUUGUCCAGUUUAUUAGAAGCUCAGAAAGCAUGGCUCCCAACAAUCCAAAAAGUGCUCCGGAUGCACCAACUGAUAUAGUCGGGCUUGUGGUUCUCAUAAGAUGCAUAGUCGAUCCUAAACUUCCACCUAAUCCAGCAAGCACAUACAAGAGUCCUAUUCUGACUGCCAAAUUUAAAGAGUGGAGAAUGGUUAGCAUGCACUGAUCAUGUAAAAACCAAGUUAAAAUCUCCUAAAUCUUAAGUUCUUACUAAAUCCGAAUUCCUGCUCAAGCCGGAUUCCUAUGAAUAAAAGGCUCAGCAUAUUGGCAAGUAAGUGAACGACUCCCGCAUGAAGCCACAUGCAAGACAAGAGGCGCCAUCCUUCGCCCUCUUCCACCACUCGUUGCCGUUCAAGGGCUCCUAGUUUUUUUAGACUGCAAACAGUAGCAAUUAGAUCAAGGUUUUUCAUGUAUUGAGCAUGCUGACUAUGUGCAAUAAGUUGUAGCUUAGAGUUGGCCUAGUUGCGCUAGGAAUGAUUUCUAAAUUGGCAGAGCAACCGGACAGAUUUCCCGUGUUUGGCUCGGGCUGCUGAAAUCCACUGUCCCUACAUUUUGGGGUGGCAUAGAAUCAUGGGCAGUGAAGUUGCCAAGACCUAGAGAGGAGAAUGUGACACUAUGCUAGAGAGAUUGGGUUACUUAAGUAAGACAUAAGAAUCCAAAUAUUAAUUGGAACUAGCCCUUUUUGAGUAAGAAAAUUCUUCUUUUUCUUUCAAAUUCGAAGAGAUUGCAUAGACGGAAGUAUAUGAAUGUACAGAACCAAACAGAGUAUUGAAUGGCAUGUUCAUGUUCUGAGCAAGUCUCAAGCCUCUAACAAUGCUAGCCAACAGGCCGACUCUAUAGGUUGCUCAAAUUUUCCAUACACCUUCAAUUUUGUAGGUAGCUCAAAUGAGUUAUGCUUUAGUCGUAAUCAAACUCCAUACAAAUGGUUUCUGUUUUUGUUUUCCACUCUCAUACCUCAGUUGAUUAUUAAUUUUAAACCUCCACCAUCCACAAGAAAAAAAAAAAAAAAAAAAAGAGAAAAUGGUAAGGAUUAUGAAACACAUUAAAAGAAAAGAUUAGCCUCAUAAAUUCUAUUGCGAAACAAGAAAAUAAACUGAAAAUAGAAAUCAUUGAGAGAGAGGGAGAGGAAAUUCUUACGUGAGUCCAGCAGGACCAAGGAGAGGGUUUUCUUUGAAGGGUUGGAAAGAGAACCUCUUCAAAGAAGGAAGAAUACACUUAUUCUCGUCGAUUGAUGGACAGUCAUUGACGUACAUGGUAUAAAUGAACAUGGCUACAUUGGCCACAAAUAUGAUCGGCACGAGCCACGGCACCCAUGGCUUUGGUGGUGGGGGGCAUAAGUGUGGUGGAGGCAUGGAAGGUCGAGCCUUUUCACGUCCCUUCUCCAUGUCUUCAGAGGAUGGCGGUCUCUUCCCCAUUUCAACCACGGGGAGGAAGGCGAAGGGGUGCACACUGCACCUGCACUAUUGGCUGCGGUGGCAGAUGCUGAUGUGCACCACCAAGUUACAAGGAGGAGAGAUAGACGAGAGAAAAAUAUUUGGCUUUGGGUGGCAAGGAUCAAGUUUGGCUGGGGUGGUAGAUAAGUUUGGCAACUUUCCCCGAUAAUAGAUGUGAGGAAAUUACUUUAUGCCCCUUUUAUGUUAUAACCUUCCAUUCUUCAACAAAAAAACAAACAGAACAAGUAACAAAAAGGGAGAAAAUUAAAAAAAAAGUUGGGAUUAGUAAACAAGACGUUUGACUUUAGCUACGUAGAGGAAGCUGAAUGAUUAAUGACCAUGCUGCAUGAUGCUUCUGAACUGCUUUCAAUUAAUUUUUCAUGAAAAGUUAAAAACCAAUCCAUAUUGAAAUGUGGUUUCCAUCGGUUUCUCUCAGAUUUUAAAUUUAAAAAAAAUGUACAAAUAAGCUUGUUUCAUACUAAAACUUAAAAUUUCCAAGUGCUAAUUCUAUGAUACUUAACGAUAAUUUUCCAUUUGCUAAUUUUAUGAUACUUAACGAUAAUUGGAUUGGUUCGGUUUGGUUUUUGCUAAAAAUUACAUCCAAGAAUCUCUAUGAUGUGGUACUUGGUGCUCAACCGCUCUAACUUAUCCCAUUGUAGAUUCUUGUUACAUGGAGAAAUUGUGCCAGCAAAACCAACCAGGAUAUAGUUUAGUAUUUGUUACAGGACUUGGCACAUCAGCCACAGCCUUCUACCACAAAUUUUCAUAUUCUCAAACCACAGACCUUGACCAGUUGAUUGCCAGCUAUGAUGACUUGUUCCAAAUGAUAAGGAAGCUGAAUCAACAUAAGUGUGUUAGAAUUUGAUAGGAGUUUCUGGUUAGACUGUUAGGAUUGGUUCAUGCCUUAGUUGUAUUGGUGAUUAUGUUGUCAACAAACAGGGCAUUUGUGAUAAUCAAUACAGUUCAUCAUUUUUACUCGGUCUGUUACUCAUUCUCUUUGCAGUCUCAUUCUGUUCGUCUUUCACCAAACACAAAGGUUUACCUCUGAACGGAAGUCGAGUCAUGAUGAUGACGCAUGUUGUGUGCCAGCACCCGGCAGUCAGCCUAGUAGCAAUAGUCCCUUUUCAUCUCCAGUUGUUUUAGUUAGAAAAGAAGGAUGUGUAUUGAUUAUGGGGCUUUAAAUGAUAUCACAGUGAAGCCAAGAUGCCCCAAGUGUUUGUCAAAUCGAGUGUCUUGGUCAUGUGAAAUUAAGGCCAUACUCAAGGGUAUCUUGGAAUCGAUGAAAGAUGCGAUAGAUCGUACACUAGUUACAAUUUUUUUUUUUCUUUCUUUCUUCAGGAUGGGUGUAGGUUCCUCGUGAGAUUCGUACAUCACGAUGACCGCCGCACAUUUUUCACUAGCACAUACUAAUCUUGCCAUACUAAAGGGUAUGCAUAUUGGCAACUGCAGACAUCAUGACUUUUGUUUUGUAGCCUAAGUUUUGCUUUCAUUAAAACGGAAUGAAAUCGACUUCAUCAUUAUCUAAUAAAAUUUCUGUGAAAAAUGCUCGAGUUGCAUGGUCCGAAAAAUGCAGAAAAAAUUCUGAAACCAAAAGAAGAUCGCUAAAAAAUUGUUGUGAUUACUAAAAUUAUGAAAUACUCAUCUGAGCAUCUCUCUCACAAUCCACAAAAUACUGACCUCUCUUAAAUCCCCACAAUCAUCUCUCUCAUGUACACUUACAUAUGCACAUUGGCAGGUAUAUAUAUACAUCAACGAAACAUAUGCAUGCGGUACAUACAUAUGAUUUGCGUACAUAAGCAAGUAUAUAUUUUGUUGUGUUAUACUUGCAAUUCUUCAAGAACAUGCAGUUGAACCGUCAAGAAACUAUGGUUUGUUCAUUACUCAAAACCAAUACAAGCUCAAUAGUUUUUUACGCUGUCAGGCAGAUGCUCUUUAAUCUCCUUUAUGUUGAAUAGCUUACCAAAGCCAACUCCAUAUCUGCAAAUUAAGACAUUUUUUUUUAAUCAGAGACUGGAUAGCUAACUUUCAAUGGUUAACCUUGAACAGAUUGUCGAAAGAGAAAAUGAAAUUAGUAACUUACAGAAUAACCAACACGGCCAAAGCAACGAGCCCUAGAAAAUAUUGACAGAAGUUGUGCCUUGGUGUACGUUUGACUUGAUGGUAUGAUGGAAUGUACUUGCUGCUUACAUAUCCAAACUGAGGCUUGACAAAAAGAACAAAACCGAGGAAAAAUCCGGCGACGAGUCCUCCUACAUGACCUGAGUUGUCCAUCUUAAGUAGAAACCCAAUAGCCAAGUUCAGGGCAGCAUUGAGGAUGAGUAUCAUGAUUGUUGAGCACUGAAUAGGAAAAUUAAGAGGUUAGAUUAGGUGUGGGAAAUAGGAUCUCUGCUUAUGUUCCUGUGAUGAUAUUGUGGUUAUGUUGGAAUUUAAGGUUAAGCAUUUUGGCUUUUGAGUUUGCAUUGAAAAGCUAAUUAAAUGGAAGUGUAGAGCGACGUAGUUUUGGAUAUGAACACAAUAUCAGAAGAGAAAAUAUAAGCAGUCCGAACUUUAACUGUUGAGAAAUAGGACUUAUGCUUAUGCUCUUGUGACAUUGUGCUUCUGUCCAAAUAUAAGUUAAGCACUCUGAGCUUAGAGUUUAUAUUGAAAAGAAAUUAAAGGAAAAUCCGAAUAGGAAACCACGUAGUUUUGGAUACAAACACAAUAUCAGCACUUUGAGCUUAGAGUUUAUGUGAACUUUUAUUUGCCAGUUAAGAGUUACAGAAAAGAAGGGGAAUAACUAAAGAGAAAAGAGGUGUUACCUUAUCGUCAUAGACUGUCCAGUUUGUGAUGAGCUCAGAAAGGGAAGCUCCCAACAAUCCAAAAAUUGCCCCAGAUGCGCCAACUGAUAUAGUCUUGCUUGACCAGUCGUGUUUGAUAAUAUUAAGGCAAGACGCUAAAUUUCCACCUAACCCAGCUAGCACAUACACGAAUACGAAUCUGUCUGCCAAAUCCAAACAGUUCACACAACAGUUAGCUAAGCAUUCAUCGUGUAAAAUUGACUACUUGAAUUGUAACCUUCCUAUUCAAGGGCUAAACCAAGAUCGGACGAUUUUUUGAAAGGAUAAUCCUUUAAAGAUAACCUAAAACAUAGACAGUUUCGAUAAUUGAAAUACAGUGUUGGAUAGCCCUAGGAAAGAUGUGUGCACUUUUCUUAAAUUUAGAACAUCCUUAACAUAGAAAAUGUAUAUAUAUUUAUAUCAUGAAUGUUAAUUUCUUACAAAAUCCAAAGUCCCGCUCAAGCCGAAGUCCUACAAAAUCAAGGCUGAGCAUGUUGGCAAACAGAUGAAUCAGCCCGGCAUGUAGCCACAUGGAGGACAAAAGGCGCCAUGGUUCACCACCAUCCACCACUAGUUUUCUAUCAAGGCCUCCUAGUCUUUGAAGUCUGCAAAUAGAUUAAGGUUUUGCACAGUCUAUUAGUAGAAGCUUAAUUAAAGAUGGCCUAAUUGAGAGAGAGAGAGAGAGAGAGAGAGAGAGAGAGAAUUAGGGAUGGUUGCUAAAUUUGUAUUGCUUUUCCAUUUUUCCUCACUCUAGAAAGUUUUGUUGAAGUUGGUUAUAAAAUCACAACUUAAAUGAUGGAUAUCUCCUUUCACUUCCAAUCACAACUUAAGUGAUGGAUAUCAUAUAGGUUAUCAAAUCAAUUAGCCUAGCUACAUUCUUUUGUCUAACUUUUCACCCAAUUCCAAUUAUAACUUGAAAUCUUUAGGUCCUUAAGAUCAAUUACUUUCCCCUAAUUGUAAUCGAAAUUCGUAGGUUAUGGUUUUUAACCUCCACCUCCCCCUCCCAAAAGAAAAGGACAAAUUACAUGGAAAUAAUUGCUCUCUAACAUUUGCAAAACCCAUCUCAAUUUCGUCACAUUAAUUACCCUCAUAACAAGUUUUGUAAUCCCAUUAGCAUAAAUAGAAAAAUAAGAGAACAGAAAUAAACAAAUGAAAACAUUGAGAGAGAGAGAGAGAGAGAGAGAGAGAGAGAGAGAGAGAGUCCUUACGUUUCAGGGGUAGGACCAACCAUGCGGUUAUCUUUCCAGGGUUGGAAAGAGAACCUAUCCAAAUACUGGCCUAACAUGCAUUGAUCCUUUGAAAUUCUAGACGGGCAAUUAUUCUCAUACAUGAUCCAUAUGAACAACCCGAGAUUCACCAAAAAGAUAAGCGGCACCAGCCACGGAGAGUACCGCUUUGGUGGUGGCGGCAUUAGUGGCGGCGCGUAAUACGCUGGUGGAGGUGGAGCAUAGUAUGGCGCGGGUGGUGGUGGAUACAUUUUCUUUUUUGGUUUUCUUGAAGAUAUUAUAUCAAAUUCGGUAAAUGUGUGCUGCGCUGGGGAGGAGGAGGUACACACUGCACCGGCAGUGUUGGCGAGGGUUGCAGGUGCAGAUGCAAAUGUGCACCAAGUUAGGUUGAGCGAGAAGAGAGAGAUAUAGGUUUUGGGUGGCAAGGAACGAGUCUUGUUGGGUUGUUAGUUAAAUAAGGUAUGUGUUUUUCCCGCUAAUAGAUGUGCGGUGGACAUGACUUAAUGGCCUUCCAUAAUUCCUUUCUUGAAAAAAGAAAAAAAGGAAGGAAAUCUAGCUUUUGGUCUAGUUGUAAUUGUCUCUAUUUAGUUGGAGGAUGUCUAAGGUUCAACUCACAUUAUUGCAAGAAUAAUAUAUUUGUGAUGAGUUCGAUACCUUAUUAUGGCUAGUCGCAUUGUAUGACGUAACUUUGUUGUGCGUGCAUUAUCUGACUCUUUUUGGCAUAACUUCGCGUUCUAUAAGUUAGGCCUAAUACUGAAAUUAAGGGUUUCUUCUGUAGGACUUUUUUUUUAAAACCCAAAUUCUUCCUAUGUCAAGUAAGGGAAUGAACAAUAAAUAAGAAUGGGAUCAACUAUCCCUCCUAAUUGAUCACAGUCUUGUAUUUACUAACAUAUAGGUAUUAGAAUAAUUCCAAUUCCCGACAUCCCAUUUCUUAUUAUAAUCAAUUUCAUUCCAUAACCAUUACUUGUAAGUAUUAGAAUUUCUUGGAAAUUGAAUUUAUGAGAGGAAAAAUAUAUCUCCAAAUUUUGUAAUAACUAAUAAACGCAUACGCUUAAUGAUUACUAUUCUCCAUUUUCAAAUUCAACAUUUUUAUAUUUUGAAAUUAAGGCAGUCAGUACUUGCAUUAGACAUAAACUGCAGAUAUAGUAAUUAACACCGAAAAUUUGUUGUGAUUGGAUUUCUAGCUGUGAGGAAAAGGAAAAGUAUGACAUGCUCCAUUCUAAUUUCUAUUGCUGUUAAUAGGAAUCGACUAGCCAAUUUUGCAACACCAAUUCACAGGGAAACUGUUGGAUCAGCCCUUGACAUAAUUUGACACAAUUGAAUUGCACGGAUUCAAAACUAUAAGGAUUAAAUUGACAAAUUGAAACUACGAAGACCAAAGACAUAAAAUAGGUAAAUUACAAAGAUAAAAAAUAACCGUUCCUAUGAUGAAAGUCGAAGAUAAUUUUUGGCUCCCAUCUAGUCUUUUUUCUUUUAAAGUUUCGUCUAUUUUGUAGUAACCGAAAAUUGGUCCAUAUAACCGAAAAAAACACAAAAUUCUAAAGUUGUCCUUCAACUUGCAACAUCUAGAAAGUACUUGGCUACUAUCGCCCAAAUUGGAUCUACAAUGACGAAAGGAAAACUCGUAACAAAUUACAAGAGCUAAAUUUAUCAUUUGGUGUCAAAAAAAUAAAUUACUUAUUUUGUUUGGGUGUCUUAAUUAGAUUUCUCUAGAGCCCAAGAGUCCUAAGGCCCAAAUCUUUGAAAAGCAAGCAUACAAUACUCGUAUUAUACGGGUACGUAUGUAUUUUUCGUGUUUAAUACACGUAUUUUUUACAAAAAUUUCAACAAGACACAAAAUUCACAUAUUAUACACAAAAUUCUCAAACAUUAUUGAAUAAAAAUGACAUAUAUUUACAAAUUUAUAUUAAAAUAUAAUAUAGUGACUGAACUUUUUAGUUGUAAUGGCCAAAAAUAGUACCGCCGUGCGGCUAUACUCGGAUUUUUAAUUUUUUUAUAAAAAAUAAAAAUAGUAUAGCCGCAUGGCUAUACCCGGUUUUUUCCUUUAAAAAAAAAGUCUAGGCGCUUGGUUUUACUUUUUUGACAUGUGGCACAUAGGCGCUGUGCGGGUCUUUUUUUUUAUAUAUACUAGCCCUUGACACAUGCUCACGCAUGUGCCAAUUGGUUUUCUUUUUCUUUUUUAUUUUAUUUUUAGAAUUAAUAAAAGAUAACAGGGUAGUUAUGUUCCAUAAAAGUAGGACAUAUUAUCUUAUUUUGUUUUUAAUUUUAAUUUUUUUAAUAUUAAAAAAUGUGAAUUUACCAUAUUAUCCUCAUUUAAUUAAUAAUUUCAAUUCUUAAUAUUUGAAUUAACAAAGGACAUUUUCUGGUAUUUUGAAUGUUUCACCAUUCUCUGCUUUUUGCUUUAUAUAUACUAGCCUCUCUGCACGCGCUUCCGCGCUUGCAAGAGGCUUUUUUAAAAAAAUAAAUUUAUUUUAGAAUUAAAAAAGAUAAUGGGUAGUUGUGUUCUAUAAAAAUAGGAUCCAUUAUCUGCUUUUUCUUUUUCUUUUAAUUUUUUUAAAUAUGAAAAAGUGUGAAUUUACCAUAUUAUCCUCAUUUAAUUAAUAAUUUGAAUUUUUAAUGUUUGCAUUAACUAAGGGUAUUUUCUGGUAUUUUGAACGUUUCACCAUUCUCUGCCUUUUACUUUAUAUAUAUAGAUAUAUAAACAGUGAAGCCGGGCGGCUAUACCUGUUUUUAAAAUUUUCUUAAAUUUUUUUAAAAAUAGUAUAGCUGAAUGGCCCUACUGGUUUGACACGUGGCACUAGGCGCUGGGCUGCCCUUUUAUAUAUAUAAAGUAUAGCCGGGCGCUAUAUCCGGUUUUUAGAUUUUUUAAAAAAGAAAUAGUAUAGCCGUGCGGCUAUACUCUGCGCGGGCAAAGAUCUGCCGACGAACUUUCUUCGGGAAUGGUUUUUUUUUUUUUAAUUUUAAAUUUUGAAAUUUUUGUUUUUUGUUUUUUUACUAUUGUUUUUUGGGCCAACUUCUUUUAUUUAAUAUAUGUAAUUAAGUUAUAUCUUAGCGUUUUUGAAUUACUUUAAUUAGUGAUUAUGUUUUAAUUAUUAUUUUUUUAGUGAAUAUUUAAAUAUGUUACUGAUUUCACAAAUGACUUAAUAAAUAGUAAGUACUUGAAGUUCAAUGGACGUCGAAAAAAUAAAUUCCUUAUUUCGUUUGGGUGUCUUAAUUAGAUUUCUCCAAAGCCAAAGAGCCCCAAGGCCAAAGUCUUUGAUUAAUAUAAUUAUUAUUAAUGAAAGCCAAAUCCAAGGCCGAGCGUAUAACCAAGCUCAUUAGCCCAACUCUCCAGUAUUAACCACACUUACUAAAUCAUCAUAGUUCUUUGUUUAUAAACACAUUUAGGAGUGUGAAUUUUCAAUGUGGGUUUAUCCAAUCAUGCCCUUCAAGAUCAUCGACAUAGUGUGAUUCAACAUUCCCCUUGUUCAUAAGUUUCCACCAAAAUAGCAGGAUGCACAAGUGGAUGCAAAUGGGCAGCUUCCCUUGCUCAAAUGGGCAACUUGAGACAUGAUAAAAACUGCAAAAUGCUAUACACUCUCAUCCAAUCUCCACCACUUUAAAGCAGGAAUGAAGUUUGAAAGUUUUGCUACCAUAUUGAUUAUAACCAACUCUCUCCUAAUCGAUUCACCAACACGAGGAUGCCUAACCUUUACGGCAACUACUAUGGGGCUUCACAUGUUGACCAGGGUACCUAAAUCUUAAAGUAGCUCUCGAUCGAUGCACUAGCAAUACUUCCAGAUGCUACUGGUUUUUCUUCAAAAUUAUCAAAAAUCUCAAGGAGCUUGCGGCCAAACGCUGGUUCAAUAGUUUUCUUGGUGUAGGCAAAGCUAUGUUCAGGAGCUUUGGUGUGAAGCUCUGAGAGUUUGGUGCAUGCAUAAAUAUAAUCUCUCGAGAAGAGAUUUAUGCAAAUUUGAUGAUUUAAUGGCCGAAAGAUUCGGAAAUUUGAUUCCAUCAUCUUUUAUGUGGAAUUUUAUAGUCCUGAGGCCUGACUGAAGGAGGAAGCAUUGCGAAGCUGGUGGCUAAGUACCGGUCAGGCAUGCCAAUUUUGUCUGUGCUAACUGGUGCCUGAGAAAACAACACUCUUUUGACUGGUCAUGCAGUGAUGCAGCUCCAGCAAGGCAUAGCCUUAUAUACAGGGGUGUUUUCCCUCUUCUCAGAAUCUCAGCUCUGGGUCCAUAAGAGCUUCUCAUGCUGAGUCCACAUAAGAGAUCAUACGCUUUGCCAUUGAAUUUGCAAAGUCCCUUUACUUUAAACAUUAUUAAUUAAUGUGGUUCUAUUAACCAUUAUUUAUUAAGUCACUAGAAAAUUAGGACAGUAGAGUCCCACAUUGGAAAGUGACUAGAUGAUGCAAAUACUGAUAAAUACUUAUAUCAGAUCUUAUAAUUAUUGAGUCCUGUGACGUGGGCUUGUAACUAAGUAGGACACACUAAAGUGAUUGCGAUGUGACACAGAGACUAAGCUAAGUUGGACAACCCACCCACUAAGAGUGGGUAAAAAAUAAUAAUGAAUCUUAGUGUUUAAUAAUUAAUCUUAGUGUUGAAUAAUUAAUCAAGUUUCAAUAUUGUCGAGCCUUGUAACGUGGACUCAUAACUAAGCAGAAUAUUAAAGUGAUUGACCAUAUGAUAGGGAUUGAACCAUGUUGAGGCCCAAAAAAUUCAAGGCUGGGCCCAAAUAUAUUUCUAGCCCAAUACGACACUUAACUUGGGAAGAAACCCAACUUGGGUACGCAAGAGUUUGUCACACGCGCUUGCACACGUGCCACGCCAAGCAAAUAAGCAACAUGCCACACUACAAGCUUAAGUGGGCCCAAGCCAAGCGAAUGCCUAGGGCUUGCUGAACGGGUUAUGGUAUGGAUGGUUAUGAGUUUUUAUGAGGCCUAUUGAUGAGCCAAGAAAUGGAAGUUUUGGGCGAAACUCAAGUCCAUUUCUUGAGCCCAAAUAUAUGGGUAAGCAUAAAGGAGAGAAAUUACCCUAUUACCUUAGAAAAGAGAGCCCAUCACUUUGGGAAGUUGGCCCAUCCAUUUAGUGAACUAGCCCAUUACCUUAAAGAAUGGCCCAAGUGACCAACAAAAUAUCUGAAAAUUUCUAGCACAUGGCUGGAGACAAAACCAUGACAAAAGCCAAAAGCCAAAAGCCACUCACAUUUGCAGGCUGCUGGAAAUCUCCAACACAUGGCCAAAAACAAAUACCAACACAAGGCAUCAAAAAACCAAAGGAUACUUGAGCAAAACACCCUUCAAACCAGUGUACAUACCCUUUGCUUUCCCUCCCAUCAGAUCUAGCCAUAGAAGAUGGGAGAAAAGAUGGAAGAAAAAUGGCUGAAAAUGAUGAGGAAAUCUUGCCAGAAUAAGAUAAGUCAAAAGAAGAGAGGAGAAAGAAAGGAAAAGGCUUGGCCAAAUUGGAUAGAAACCAUUAGGGUUUCUUGGAAAAUGAUAGCUUCCAGCGCCUAUAAAAAGAGGCAUUUCCUACACAUCACAAAUAACUCACAUCUAGAGAGCAAGCUUCAUCUCUCAUCUCUGAAACUCUGCAAUUUCGUGCCCUAUUCCUCCAUCUUCUCCAUUUUCUCUUUUGGCAAGCUAUUCCAGAGUCUGACAUAGCUUUUGUCAAGCUGCUGGAAAAUUACGCAAAACACCCAACACUUCACUAUUAGCCACAAACCACAUCCAGAGAGCAAGCUUCCUCUCUCACCUGCACAACCCAGCAAAUUUAUGCUCUGUUCAUCCUUCUCGCCCCAUUUUUCUCUCUUGGCAGAUUGUUCUAGCACUUGACAACACCUUUGUCGAGCUGCCGGAAAAACACUUAAACCACCCAUUGCCCUCAUGUCUCUCCCCCUCUCUCUCCUCAACGAAUCCCUUCCCCCAUGCCUUAAAAACUCUGUUUCUCAUAGGAAAUCACAGCCAUUUCUCUCUCUCAUGCUAAACUCAUGAAUGCUCAGCUCCCAUGCCACAAGCUUCUCAUGCCAAGCCAAGAAUUUAUCUGUAAGCUGUUGUUAUUUUUGUUGGUGAAGGUAACCAAGGUGUUUCCUAAGGCCCUACUGUCCUUUCAAAACAUUCUUGGGGCUUGAUCUUUGAACUCAGACACAGGGGAUAAUUUCAUCAAUUCGCUCCUUACGGCAGCCCAGCCCAUUUGGAGCUGCCGGAAGAAAAAAGCCCUACAAACCACACAUCCACCAUGGAUGUGCAGCAUACUUCUCUAAUUAGGAAUUUGGUUAAGCCCUUGAUCUAACUUCCACUUUUAUGCUAAAGUAGCAAUCAAAGUCAUCACAUGUAAAAAUUCUUGAGCAAUUUUUUUUAUUUUUGUAUUAACAGGUUCUAACUUCCACUAUUGAGUUUCGUCUAAAGUAAUCAAUUUUUUAUUUUUGUAUUUACAGGAUCUUGUGCUAGGGAAAGGAAGAGUAUAUAUGACAAAAAUAUGGUAUUAUUUUGUUAAGCAUGUUGUGAUGUAUGAUGAGAGAAAUAAAAAAGUGUAAAUACGAAUGCCCAAGGAAAAUUAGGGCCUGUUUGGUAUCCUAUUUGGUAGUUUGGUUCAUAUAAAGAAGUUGUAACCAUAACAGGAGAUAUCAUCCGCAAGGCAGAUUAGCCCGUCACGAGUGCCCGACCACACAGAGAAGUGGAUUGAGCAGUUUUUGGUUUGGAACAAUUGGAAAUUCUAUCUUGGAGUAGACAUCAAGAGCCUGGUUAUCAUAAUGCACAGAGUGAACCUCGUGGUUUACCUCGCAAAUGUACAUGUUGGGGUGGUAGGUGCUGCCUUCACCAAAAAUUUGGUGGAGUAGGAGGAGGUCAAUGUCAUUUUGGUUAGCAAAAUCGACUGUUAGGCUGAAGUGGUGGCGGAUAAAGCUUUGGUUCAUGAUCAUUGACAUCCAUGUCUUGCACACUGCAGUGCAAUUGAUCAAAGAUUUAACGGGUAGCCUACAUAGGAUGUCUUGUAUUAUUUCCUGAGGAAAAGCUUCAAAUUUGAAUUCGUGUAUCCUUUGUGUGAUAUCUUGCAUGUUAUCCAUGUCUUGCAUAUUCAAAUAGUUAACCAACUGAGAAAGAAAAGCAAUAUAGACAAAACUCAGCUAUAAUUGGGGGAAAAAAUAUCAAGGGAGUUGUUACAAUAUAAUAAAUAAUAUAUCAUCACGCUCGUAAAAUUGUGAAGAGAAAUGAAACCAGUAUAUAUGCUUGGAGACAGAAGCGAAGCAGAAGAGUGAUUGAGGAUUGUGGGUUGGUUAUUAUGGCAGGAGCUGGUGUUGCUUUGGCCACAACAGCUAGUUAUCAUGCUCCUCAUGGCGAUGGUGGUGGUGGUUGUCGAGGAGGAGGUUGUGGCGACUGAAGGAGAAUUGUGGCAAAGCCAACGUGGCGUUUAGAUAAUCUGUGUUCAUUACUGAGAAGAAUGUUGAAUGAGUUAAUGUUUCACCGCACCUUCAUUAUUCAAAAGUAGAUUCUACUGUCAAUUGUUGAGCUCAGGGAAAACUAUGCAAUGUAAAUGAAAAGAAAAUUGCAUAGAGUUCCGUACUGCGAAGCCAAAUGAAAAUUGUAACAAGAUACUUCCAUAGUUCCAUUAAAGUUUUUCAAAAGCUGAAGACUAAAUAGUGCAAGAACUACUACAAAAAAACAUAUCAGCGCUACAAAUAACAAGUUCCAUGCCAAGUAAAUACAACGAAACAUCAGGCACUUCAGGCAUAGGACGCUACUGCCCUACAGAUCAGCAACAAAAUCAACAUGUUAGAUAACAAGAAACGGGAGUGACUGCACAUCAGGCAUCAGGCACUUCAGGCAAACGACGUUACAACACUACAAAUUGAGUUUCCAUGAGAGCUGAGUUGACUUCUGGGGCCAAUCCAUGAGAUGAGAGCAUAAUUUUCAAAUCAAACCCAAUCUCUACUCUAUCAAUCAAAACUCCAAACCCAUCAGCGAAGAAAAAAAACUAACACUAAAGCCAAGCCCAUCAUUUUAUUUUUUAAAAAUAUUCACCCUCCCAGGCGCCGCCUAGGCGGCCGCCUAGCGCCUAGGCGCCGAUUUUUCGAAAUUGACAGAAAAAGGAAAGAGAGACUUUAGGAACUUACAAUUUUUGGUCCUGAUGAGCAGAGCCGAAGAAAUGGAGCUGACGUUAGAGAAGAAGACUGAAAGAAGAAAGGAGUAGAACCCUUUCUAGCCUCUAGGACAUUCAUUUCCGUACAUGAUAGUGUGGAAGAAGAAACGCGUCGGCUGAAACCCUAAUGCAUCUCUCUUCUCUGUUUAUAUCUCCGUCCCUGAUUCAAAGCUUGAACAAGGUUUAUCUCUGGUUGAUCUAGUGGUUUAUGAAUUGGAAAAGCUUUUCCGGGAACAAUUUUAUGCGGAAAUUUCUUUUUAUCGCCAUAAUGAAGUCUUAUUUCUAUUUUGACCCCUCAUUUUUCUGUAGCUUGUAUAUUUUGCCAAACUUUUCAUUUGUACUUUUUACAAAUUUUGCUGAAUAAAACACGUACAUAUUUAGGAUUUAGGGCAUUAUGUAUUUCAUUCGUACUUUUUCAUGCAUUGCCCUCUCUAAUAAUGAAAGCUUCUUUUGGUGCUAUGUUGAGAAUUCUUAGCUAUGGAGGUUCUUCUCAGGAUUGCUUAAUGAAUUGUUUAACUAAUUAAAUGCUCAUAUCACAGUUUCUCUAGCUUUGAGCAAAAUCUUACUAUUUGUUGGCAGAUUUGGGAGUCCAUAAAUCAUUGUAUCUUCGACGUAUAUGCACUCAUACAGAAAAAGUUUGACAGUUGUUGCUCGCGCUUGUGUUGAGUUCUUCUGGCAUAGUACUUCUUCUGUAUCAACUACUAAUUCGGGGAGAUCUCGUGGUCAAACUACUCCAAUCAGAUGGCUUCCGCCCAAGCCCCCAUUUCUCAAGAUGAACUUUGAUGGUUCUGUUAAAGCUUCUUCUUCGUCUGCUUCGGUUUUUGUUAUUAGAGAUCGAUGCAGGAGAAACAUAACCAAGAUUGCUCCAUGUGACCGUGGCUAGGGAAUAAACCUCAGCUAGAAUUGGCUGCUCAUCUUCCUCCAAUAAAGUCACAAGUUGCACAACCUUAUAGUCAUUGGUCAUAGCAUCAAAACCAAACCCAAGAGAAGCAUUGUUCUUACCAUGCGACCGAAAGGUAAUACCAGGCCUCGGAAGGGUCACCAACUUUCUAAUGGUUGGGUUCCAUAUAAAGAAGUUGUAAGCAUAUUAGCAUAAGAGGGGAUAUCAUCCGCAAGGCAAAUUAGCCCAUCACAAGUGCCAACCACACGAAGAUGUGAAUUUCCGAAGUUUUUCUUUGCGGCAAUUGGAAAUUCGAUCUUGGAGUACACAUCAAACGCCUGGUUAUCAUGAUGCACAGAGUGAACCUCGUCUUUUACCUUGUGAAUGACCUUGUUUUGGUAGUAGGCGAGGCUACAGCUACCAGAAAUUCUUUGGAGUAGGAGGAGGUCAAUGUCAUUCUGGUUAGCAAAGUCCACUGUUGGGCUGAGGUGGGGGUGAAUAAAGUUUCGGUUUAUGAUCAUGGACCUCCAUGUCUUGCAGAUUGAAGUACAUUUGAUCAGACUAAUUAGGAUCUCUUAUAUGAUUUCCUGAGGAAAAGAGCGUGCGCUUCAAUUUUCAAUUUGAUCCCUUGAUAAUCUAUUUAUUGUUUGUUUUAUGAAAACUAUUUUUUUAAAUGAACCUAUUUUUUCUCUAAAUAAUGUACCUAUUUUUUUCUUUAAAUAAUGUACCCUUUUUUUCUCUGAAUAAAGUACUUGUUUUAUGAAAAACAAUUUGAUCAUCUUUUUAUUGUUUAUUUUAUGAUUUUUUUUUAAUUUUUAAAUGAACCUAUUUUCUCUCUCCAAAGUACCUAUAUUUUUUCUCUAAUAAUGUACCUUUUUUUUUUUUUAAAUGAACCUAUUUUUCCUCUCCAAAUAAUGUACCUAUACACAUUUAUAGGUAUAUUCUAAAUUAAUUUACCUAUAGUAAAUAAUGUACCUAUAUUUUCUAUAAAUUAUUGUGUACCUAUUUUUAAUUUAUGAAAAAUGUACGGAGAUUUCAAUUACAAAGUAACUUAGUUUUUUUUUUAAAAAUUUUAAAUUUUGGUAAAUAAUAUACAUAUAUUUUAUUUAAAUAAUAUGUUUAUAUUUGUAUUUUUCAUAGGUACAUUAUUGGAUAUUUAAUUUACAAAAAAAAAAAAUGUGUUUGCAAUUUUAGGGGCGAUAUAUGAGAGGGAAUGACAACCGAAAGAAAUGGAGUGAUUGAUAUGCUAUUAAUAGGGAGUAUUAAUUACAAUUAUGGCAGUUAAUGAAAUACUUGAAAUAAAUUAUAACUAAAAUAUGCAGUCUGGUGGCAACGAUGUAAAAACAUAAGAAUACUAUGACCUCUUAUAUCUUACUGGUCAUUUAAAUUUGAAAUUGGGUUUUACACAUAGAUUUAUAGAGUGAUGGGUAUAUGUCUAGGAAAUAGAAAAUGGAGGGAUCUAUAUUGGGCAAUAUAUAUUUAAAAAUUUUAUAUUAAAAUAUAAUAUAGUAGCUGAACUUUUAAGUUGUAAUGUGCAGCAGAGCAACGCAAAUAGGCUAGGACUUUCGUCGAGCACCUGGUGUGCACAUAAGGAGUCGUUCCGCUGCUAUCCAAGGGGUCGUUCAUGGAGUCCAUAGAAAAAAUUUCGGCAUUCCAAGGGGUCGUGCGACCCCUCUUGUUCCAAUGUACAUCCGCCUCUACACACUAGAUAUUCUUGAUCAUUGUCGCAAAACGUCCCGUGAUGGGUCUCUCUAUAGACUUCCAGUUGUACAGUUGUUAUGUCACAAGCGAUUAGUUGCAUAAUUGUCCCAAAACGUCCCGUGAAUGGUCUCUCUGAGAACUUGGGAGUCAUUUCUUUAUUGUUACCGUAUUCUAAAGGAUUUCCUUUCUAAAAUAAAAUUUUAUUUAUGAGAAUAGUUUUGCACACACUUUUAACUGCAAUGUGUGCUUGCCUUCUCAGCAGGGGGCCUUAGAGUUGUGGUUCUCAAUCUAUAUAUGGUCUGGAGUUUAAUGCACAUGUAACAAUCAGUUUGCAAAGAACUAUGAUACUGAAUUUCAAUAGUCCCAUUUGUUUCAUCAUAGGAGGCCUUUUUUGUCAUUUUGUGAACGGCGUUGGCGAUGGUACCCAAUUUAGGAUGAUGAUUUUAAUUUUAUUAUUGUUGGCGUGAAUGAUUUGUUUGUGUAAAGUUGACUCUUUUAUUAGUCGAAAGUAUGGGUGGUACUUAAGGGCGGAACCAAGGGUGGUGGCUAGGGUGGGCUCCAGCACAGCCCUAUUUUUUCAAAAUGGACCUAUAGGUGCAAUUUAAUAUAAAUAAGUUAGAAAUCAGCCCAAGACUCUCCACGCGUCAGCUCACUGAUCCAUUAAGCACAAUCAAAACUUUGACUAAAGAAAUAAAAAUACAAACCCAAAACAUUGUCUUCCUUCCUUCCUCUCGAAAAUGGGUUCCUCCUUCCUUCCCCUUUCUCUUCUCUUUUUUGUUUCUACAUUGUCAUUUUUGUCUUCUCUCUCAUUUUUCAUCUUUGUCAUUUCUUUCUUCUUUCUCCUUUUCUCUUUUCUUUUUAUUUCUUCUCUCUUUUCUUGUUUAUAUAUUACUAAUGACAAACCAUUUGUUUGGCCAAAUUUUCUUUUGUAAUCUGAACGACAAAACACAAAUUAAGAUUAAAUUGAAGUGCAAGACAGAAAGCCAGAAAAUCAAAUAUUGUCACUUCCUCCGGAAAACCAUUUGUAUAGAAGUAGCAAACAAUAUAUAAUUUGCUACAAAAGUAAUUACUUAUAUUUCCUCUCCUCACGAUAUGGAAUUUUUCACUUCUUUUUUUUUAAUUCAGAAACAAAACAAUCUUAUGAACUAGAGGAUGAGCUUUUUAAAAAUAAAUUAAUAAAUAAAUUUGUCAGAAAGAACUAGAGAAGUGGCUAGGCUAUAAUAAAAUCACCAUAAAGACUGACUAGCUCAUAGGCUAGCCGGUUAUGCAUGCGAUGAUGAGUGUGAGACAUAAUUCAAAAUAUAAAAAUGAAAGCUCGGUGCAAGGAACUUGUAGUUUAAGUAGUUUAAAACAUUGUUAUGCAUUUGAAGUUUUAAGUUUGAUUCAUUUUAUUCCUCCUCAAAUAUCGUUUGUAUCAAAACAAUUUUAAAAAAUCAGCUUAAUCAUGAGCGGAAGGUAAACAUAUUUUCUAAUCAUAAACAACUUUUAAUCUUUUAAGAGAUAUGCAAUGCAAUCGUUUUUUAACCUUAGGCAAGAGGUGUGACGGAAAGCAUGAAGAAAAGUCACUCGAAAUCAAAGUUAGUUGGAAAGGAUAUGAAAAUAAAUAAAAUAACCUCCCUUUUCCAAAUUAUAACAAAUAUAUAUUUUAUACGCCUACCCAACAUAAUAUAUCCUAUUAUCUGAUAAAUAUAUUAGCACACAUCCAAUUGAUCAUCUGCAAUUGAUGCAUGAAGGGACAUGGGAAACAAUAACCUAUUUCAUAAGUAUUAUAUUCGGCAUUGCUUGUGGGCGUGGGCGUGCGCACACGCACACACACAUAUAUACAUAUAGGGUUAAUGACCUAAAUGGUCCCUUAACUAUUGCUCCAUUAUCAUUUUGGUCCAUCAAUUAAAAUUUUCAAUUCAAACGUCCUUAAACUUUUUAUUUUGUACCAAGAUGAUCCAUCCGUCAAAGUCUGUGUAUUAUUCCGUGAAAUCGAGGGACAAAACCAUAUUUUUAGGUGAGUAUCCUCCUCUCAAAGGGUUAUUGAUCUCAAUGGUCCCGCAAUUAUUGCUCCAGUAUCAUUUUAGUCCACCAACUAAAAGUUUCAUUUGAACCGUCCUUCAACUUUAUUUAUUUAUUUUUUUUUGUAUCAAGGAAAUUAUUAUAAAACUUAGAAAAUUUUAAAAAAUUGAAUCUCACUAGCCAUAUGGCUUUUUUUUUUGUGAGACUGGCCUAACAAUUAAUAAUAAAAAAUUCUCUAUUGUUUAAAUUAAUUAAAAUCACAUAUAUAUAAAUAUAUAUAUAUCAGUCCCCUUCUAUUGAGGGAUCCCUCAAAUAAUUUUAUUUGAGGGACGCCCUUUAGGGUACCCUACAAUUCUUUUCCCAAUAAUCCAAACCAUCUAUUUUUCAGGUAUUCAUUUAUAGAUCAUCCUUACAAAAAAUUAGACAAAUCGGAAACCGUUUCGACAUCCAAUUGUGUCUUACAAAAUCAAUGAACACAGUGCUUUAAGAAAAGUACUAAAAUUUCAAUAACUCAAUUGAGUGGUCACAUGAUAUCGGAUUCAAGUGAUUUUUUGUAGAGAUGAUCUUUGAAUGAGUAUCUACAAAAUAGACGGUUUGGAUUAGUGAAAUACAAUCCGGAGUGGGGCCUACAAGGGGUGUCCUUCAAAUAAGCUUAUUUGAGGGAUCCCUCAAUGGAAGCUCUCUGUAUAUAUAUAAUAACAAAUUUUUUAAAAGAGCAAACAAUAAUUAAAAAUUAAAGGAAACUAUUAUAGGAACUUGUACCUAAUUUUAAAAUUGAAAAAAUUGAAUCUCACCACCAACAUGGCUUUUUUUUUUAUGACAUGGACUUAAAAAGUAAUAUUUUUUUCUCUAUUGUUUAAAUUAAUUAAAAAUUUUAUAAUCAGAUAAAUACAAAAAUAAAUAACAACAAAAUUGACGGACUUUGACGAUAGGACCAUCUUGAUACCCAAAAAAAAAAAAAAGUGGAAGGACGGUUUAAAUAAAAAUUUUAGUUUGUGGACCAAAAUGAUACUGGAGCAAUAGUUGAGGGUCCAUUUUAGUCAUACCCUUCGAUAGAGCUUCUCAAAAAGUCGCAUAUACCCUUCAAAACUCAGUCACGUGGCCAUCGCGUGAUCAGAAGUAACGGAAUCUGUCACGAAUGAACCAUCUUGGUACAGAAUAAAAAGUUUAAGGACGUUUGAAUUGAAAAUUUUAGUUGAUGGACCAAAAUGAUAAUGGAGCAAUAGUUAGGGGACCAUUUAGGUCAUUAACCCUAUAUAUAUAUAUAUAUAUAUAUAUAUAUAUUAGUUUAAGGCUUAUCAAAAUGGCAUUGAUAAUUUUACUUGUGGUAACCCUAGCUGUAGUGCAAGCCUGUGCGGAAGAGGCUCCUUCUUCUCUGGUCCCUGAAUCUCACAUUCCCUCUGGUGAGCUUGGCUCUCCCCUUCCACAUGGUGCUGAUUUUGCAGAAAUUCCCGAAUUUCUUGUCCAGGCUGCAAGAAGGCAUCCUAAAAAGAAAACUCCUGGAAAACCUAAACCUCCUCAAACUCCGAGAAUACCUAAACCUCGAAGUCCUAUAAAGUAUGGCCCUAACAACAGUAUCACAAGAGAGACCUAGACCAGCCAAGCCUUCAUCUUCUCUAUACACAAGCGUACGUUACUCUGCAAUCGUCUUCAGUAUAGCUUGCAGUUGUUGAUAUGCGAUAAAUUAUUGAUUAGCUGCUCAGACUCAUUUGAAUUUUGAGGGCUAUGUUAUGUACGUACUUUUUUUCUUUGAUGAAUUGUAUAAUAUGUCGGUGGAGAUGUAUAGUUGUAAUUUCCUCUAUUUCAGUGUUACAAAAUUCACACCAUGAAAAAUAAAAACAAAUUUUAAAAAAUUGGUCUCGAGUGUGGUUUUGUUCCUAAAAAUCAUGCAUAUGUAUGCCAUAACAAGAGCCUUACUAUAAUAUCAUACUAUAGUGAAGGAGCCACUAAUAUAGUGGUUUGGAAUAAUUGUUCCCUCAUGAAAGGUCAUGAAUUCGAAUCCUAACAUUCAUAUAAUAUGUGUGAAUUUCAUAUAUUAUCACCUCUCUCAAUAGGAAAAGUCAUUAAAACAUAAUAAUAAUAAAAUCAUACGAUAGGGAUGCCAAGAUAGCGAAACAUGAACCAAUACCCAAUUCUUUUUAAUCUCUAAAAUAAAAACACAGGCGAUUAAUAAAGGGAAAUUUUGGAGAAUAGAAAUCUGACGUUAAAACUGCCAUCAUAAGCAAAAUUCAGCUGAAGGCUUUAAGUCUUACAAAUUCUCUGCUCGCUAUCAAUCUAAAGUUGGACUCAAAUGGGGAUAUAAAAAACAUCAUCAAAAGCACCCUAAUCCUCCUGUCAUGAUAGUAUUCUACAUUCAAAAGAAAUGCUAUUAACUAAAAAACUAGAGGCUGAUCAGGUCCAGAGUCCACCAUCCUUCGAAUCGCAAGGCUCGUCGUUGCUUCAAAAAACUAUCAUACUUGCACUGCAUAAAUCAGAAACAUCUGUAAGUAUUUGUAUUGUAUCCUGAGUUGCAAAGAAUCCCCUAUGCAAUCUUAACCACCAAAGCGCGCACACCCACCAAACCAGAAAAAGAAACGCGGUUCCGAAAAACAUAAAAUGCAUCUUCUAGCAGUAGGCAAGAUAACCAGAAGACUUCUUCAUGAUUGAAGAAUUAAUUAUGAGAGAAAUACAUCUCCACUGAUUGAAUGAACAGGUAUCCUUAGAUGGUACUUCUUCUUCAUGUUGACUAGUGUUUAUCUAACCAGCUUCUCCAAUUUAGUUUCUAAAACUUCCAUUACUGCAAAUAUUAACAUUUUGUGAGAAAAGCUAUCUUACUGUAUGUAGAAGUAUCAAUUUGCUCCGGAAGCUCCUUUAUGUCCACCUCAAACCUUGACUGGACCUGAAACAAGAAAUUUGGAUUAAGAAAAGGGUAUCACAAAAGCAGAAGAAACGCUUGUAUUGAAAUAGAUAUUAUAUAUAUAUUACCUGAUUAAGAACAUCAGAGUCUGAUGCCGAAGAGACAAAUGUAAUUGCCAGUCCCUUGGUACCAAACCUACCAGCUCUGCCAACCUAUGAAGGAAGGAAACGAAGCACAGAAACAAGAAACACUGGAAUCAGCUAGAGAUUAGGGAGACGACCUUCCACCCAUGCACAAAGACAAGUAACAAAAUUGUUAAAAGAAAAACAAAUACCCUGUGUAAGUAGGUAUCGGCAGAAUCUGGCAUGUCAUAAUUAAUAACAAUGUUAACACGCUCGAUAUCAAUUCCCCUUCCGACUAAAUCUGUUGCCACAAGAAUCCUUGAAAGCCCCUCCUUGAAAUUCUUGUAACGUUUCAACCUGCAAAUGGAAAACCAUGCCAAAUCAGUUGAUACUAUGCAUUCCUGACAUUAAAAUGCGGAAAAGCAAGAUCAUACAGUGUAAAAUAAGAGGCUAAAUAACUCGCAAGUCAAGAGGAGAAGAAGAAGAAACAAAGAGUCACUUAGGGCUAGAUAACCUAGGCAAUACAAAUAAGACUUCUCACAGAAGACAAAAAAGGAAUCAUCUAGAUUGAGGGACUUCAGCUGCUAUGCUAUAGUUAGUCCAUUCUUCCCCGAGUUUAGUAGUACAGGCAAACUAACGAAACCAGACAACCUACCUUUGGUGAGAUAAUUGUCAGCAAAAAGGCAGAAAACAAAGGCCAUUUUCUUUCUAUUUUGAAUUUCUAAAACCAGCUACCCACUCUUGUUCCAAACAAGGAUCAUCUGCACAUUGGCAUUGCUGAGUGCUAAACUGCCCAUAUGCAACAACCUCAUACUGGAGAAAUGCCAAAAAGAUGAGGUGCUCCAAGUGUAUUUUCUGAACCGUUCCAUUUUUUUCAUUCAUGUGCUUUUCAUUGACAGAUAACAUCCUUGGGAGCCAAAUGCAUCUUGCAGAAAUUUCGCAGAUAAUCACUGUAAACAAAGAUGGAUCCUAAUAGGCAGGUGAGUUCAGAAUUGGAUGGAGAUUGAUUAAGUAUUGAUGUCAGCCGGACAAGGCUGUUAUUUGAAGAGAGUUGAUCAUUGCAACAUCUUUGAAAAGAAUGUUCCUGACUGAUCCAUUCUUGGUAGUUGUAGGUGACAGAAAGUAAAUGCAGGACAUUAAUGAGUGUUUUUUUAACUAUAAACUACAGUUGGAGUUCUAAAGAACUAGAAUAUGAUAUCAAAUUUGUUAUACGCAUGUUAACAUGAACUAAACUCUCUUACAAGAACUCACGCUCUUAUAAUAACUUCAACCAUAUCUAAAACUCCAUUUCCCACCAGUUAUUGUAAAUACUACAGAAACAUCAGAUCACUAAAGAAAAAAUAGAUUCAAAAAUAAUCAACAUAUCUAUAUUUAUAAAUCAUAUUGCAUUCGCAGCAACCCUAGUAUUUUCAAAAACAGAGAAAAAAAUAGCCCAGGUGCAAUAAAUUAUAAACUGCACAAAUAAACCUGCUUCAGACUAACAAAUCAAAUCUGCAUCUAUUAGGAGGCCAAAAUCUGACAGUUCACAUUGUAGUACAUUUAGCUUAUCAGACAAUGGGAAAUCAGGAAGCAAACACAAACACCUUACUCCCACCCGAAAUGUAACAUAAGAUACCAACCCAAAUCAAUGCAACACUCUCAUAAUACUCCACUAAAACAAUAUAAAAAAAAUAUUGAAAACAAAAGUUGAUGAAAUUCUCACAGGACACAAGCAAGCACAAUGAAGGGUAACAACUGUCAGAAUACAUUAUCAAUACUAUAUGCAAAGAAUAGACUGGUACUUUCUCCCAUUUAUUGUAUUUCAAAGGGAUGAAAUGCACACCUUUCUUCCUGAGGCAUUCCAGAGUGAAUGCAGAUAGAUGGGAAGUUACAAUCAGCAAGUAAUUUGUUCAGCUCAGCUGCUCUGCUUACACUUUUUACAAAAAUAACAACUUGGUUGAAAUCCAAUGCAUCAAGAAGGUCAGUCAACUUGCGGUUUUUCUCAGGUUCGCUCAAUUUGAUGUAGUGCUGCACAGAGAGAGAGAGAGAGAGAGAGAGAGAGAGAGAGAGAGAGCAUGAGGGUGAGCAAGCAAGACACAGUUAACCAACAACACAAAGCUCAUCAAUCACAUUACAGAAAUACCUGAACGAGACCAUGAAGUGUCAAUUUGGCCUCAUCAUCUACAUAAAUUUCCAUGGGCUGCAACAAACAAAUAUGAUCACAAAUUGAAUUAAAACAAAAAUCUUGCACCUCCAAUACUCCAUAAUAAGCACACAAAAAAGUUGAACAAACCAGACCAAAAAUCACCAUAGACCAAAUUUUAUGAAUAUCGAUACAAAUUUCAAAAUAAAAUAAAAUUAGGGUUUAAGCAAUCUACAAUCAUAAGAAGCUGAUUAUUUGUAAGUUCAUGUUAAGGUUUAAGCAAAUAUUACAUCUUGCAUAAAUUUCUUGCAAACAGGGCGGAUUUCUUUGCUUAGUGUUGCUGAAAACAUCAUCACUUGCUUGUCAUGAGGAGUCAACUUAAAGAUCUCCUGCACAUCUCUCCUCAUAUCUGAAAAAGUUGGAAGAACCGGAAAAUUAAAUAAAACUUAACAAACAUAAUUUUCAUUACAGAAAAAUACUGGUGAAGUCCCCUUUAACAAGAUUAAUCUUUAAAAAAUUACCAAGUGACUCAAGCAUCUUAUCACAUUCAUCAAGAAUAAAAUGUCUGACAUUCUUUAGUCCAAGCUCUUUAUCUCUUGCCAAAGCUAAUAUUCUCCCAGGUGUUCCAACAACAAUGUGAGGACAUUCAUUUUUCAGUAAGUCUUUGUGAACCUUGAUACUGACACCUCCAUAGAAGACUGCAACCUUCAGGUCCGGCAAAUAGGUACUGAAUCUCUCAAAUUCAUGACAAAUCUGUAGCAAAAAAAAAUAAUAGUAGCUUCAUUAAACAGAACCUCAGCAUAGAAUCGUAUGGCCAAAACAGCAACAGCUUCAUAUCCAAUAUAUGCAUAUGCGCAUCGAAAUUGGAGUUCUCUACACUGAUAAUGAAUUCAUUGGGCAUACCUGGUAAGCCAGUUCUCUUGUGUGGCAAAGAAUAAGAGCAGCAACCUGACCAGCAAUUGGAUCUAUUUGCUGAAGGGUAGAUAGAACAAAGACGGCGGUCUUUCCCAUCCCAGAUUUUGCUUGACAGAUAACAUCCAUUCCUAAGAUAGCUUGAGGGAUGCACUCAUGUUGAACUGAUGAAGCAAACAAAAUUGUACCGGACGAAACCUCAGUAAGUAUAAAUGACCUUCCAGAUCCUUUUAAUGGAAAGGUUUACCAAACCAGUUUUCUUGCCGAAAUCAUGAAUAUGGAAUUAGUGAUUACCUGGACAUAGAAAAAAUAGAAAACUCAGAAACAGUCAACCACAAAAGAUGAUUAAACAAUUAAGGACAAUCUUGCCAUUCUCACAUUCCAUGUAAAAGAAAUCAAUUGAUGAAAGAAUGUUUACCACCUAUAAUUCAUUAUAGAUAUAAAUUACACACUAAUGUUAGUAAUUCAUGUGGUACAUCCAACAGAUAUGAAACAACGGACUAAUGAAAUCAUGCACUCGAGAACUUUAAUGAUGGACAACGUAUAGAUACUAGACACGUACUGCAUUGCAAUUCAGAAUUCAGAGACCAAUCCAAAGAAUUGAUAUAUCAAAGCUAUUUUGACCAAAGACCUAAGUUCACAAGAUGUUACUAGUGAUGCAGAGUUUACUGAGUAUACCCAAGUGGCAUGGCAUAGAAAUACUACCAACGGCUAAAAAUAUAUGAAAAGAACUCAUUCAUCUACUUGUAACCAGGAAUGCAGAAAUGAGAUGCAACGCCACAUAAUUAUGCAACAUAAUUAUUCCGACCACAGAAUCAGAAGUCUAGCAGACUCUUGACACAGACAUAUAAUUAUAACAGUGAGAGAAACUUUGCCUUCUGAAGGAUGUUCGAACCCAGAAUCCACAAUCGCUCGAAGAAGCUCUGGUUUCAACAGGAAGUCUCUGAAUCCUGAACUGUGGAUGCCAACAUAGCCCCUGCACCAUAUGACAUAGGAGUUUAGAAAAAAUAAAUAAAUUUGAGGGAUCCAUAACAAAUAAAACCUCAUGGAAUCUGAAAGUAUGAAAUGCAUAGAAGAUUAGCAAGAUGUAUCAGCAAAACCUCAUAAAAAAUUUGAUGUAGUUGAAUCACAGCAUACAGAGGCAGAGGCAAUAUACACAUUAAAGCAUUACCCUCCAAUAAGAAAAUAUGAAAAAUACAAUUCUAUCAAAUCACAAUACUAAACCCCAGAGUUUUAGGCACAAUAACCACAGCGAUGCCAAGAGGAGCUUAACCGGGAACACCUUUCUUUUGUGAGAACAUGGACUUAAUAAAAACUACAGUGAGGUUUUAUCACAAUGUUCAACCUUAUUUGUCGAGUAAAUCUUUUAGAAACUUAAGCAUUGUAGAAGCACGAAACUGAAUUUGUUAGGUUCUAUUUUAUUAAAAGAAAUUUGGGUCUGUCUCUGUCCAUAAAGACAUCUAAGUCAAAUUUGACAAAAUCUCUUGUUUUUUUGGUAAACUUUUAUUCCAAAAAUGAAAACAAUCUGAAGAAGCGAACAAAUCAAAUCCACAAUUACUUUCUCCACUUUUUUCCUCAGUUUUCACAGUGACCAAGCAAAGUACAAAACAGUACAAAUAGCAGAACCACAAACCAACCAAAAACAAGAGAAACCAAAAUCAACAUUAAAAAGUACUUUUUUAUCUAUACGUACAUAAGCAAACAGCCCAACUGACUCGUGAUAGUAAAAUGGAAGAUGCGAAAUUAAGAAAAAGUUCAAGAUACUAACUUUUUAACGGUAUCACCAGAGGGCUUGGCGGAGACGGAGUUGGGGGCAUUUUGGUCUUCCUCUUCAUAAUCGACCAGCUCCUCUUCGUAACCAUCGUUGUCUCUGAUUUCACCCAUGCUAUAGAACCACAACAAAAUUUGAGCUCGAGCGUUAGGGUGUUUCUAAGAAAAUCAGAAGCUUUAAGAACUAGUUGAACUGCUUUGAUACGGUUUAAAUUGCAUACCUUUAAGCUUCCACUGAGCAAGAGAGAUUCAGCGUAAUGAUCUACGAGUGUCGAGGCCUCUGAGAAAAUUCAAAAACAAUAAUGACAAAAAUUGAAAAUGUUUGGGAGAGAAGAACGGAGUGAAUGGAUAUAAACCCUGGAUCUAGGGUUCGGGAGGAGGGGAAGCGUGGACUUGGGAUUCCAAGGUAGGGGAGAAGAUAUAGGGAGCGUGACGUUAAUGAAUGGACGAAAGUACCCUCCUAGUUGCGAAUUUAGAGAUAUUUUUGAAGGACGUAAUGGUCACUGCGAGGAAUGGAUAUUUCAAACUCAAAAUCAUGUCAGAAGGGCAGCGCGAGGAUAAGAGGGGUGCAGUGCAACCGAAAUUUCAAAUAAGUAGAAGAAAAAACUCGGACCAAACCGAACCGAAAAAAUUCCACCGAUUUGGCCAGUUUUCGGGUUAAGUUGCCCAGCCCUAGAUUCAGUUCUCGGCUAUUUUUAUCCCAAAAGCUAGGACUUUGAGAAUAAUUGUGAGUUUGAUAGAAGACACACAGAAGAUUAAUUUGCAUAGCCACAUGUCUACAAAGGAAAUGUUCUCCUCUGGGGUCACCUCCUCCAUAGACCACAUGAUAUGUCACAUUACACGCAUAGGAGGCCUCAUUCUUUGAAUGUCAAACAUAUUACCGUCAACAUGUUUCCACCAUAGGCGGCGAUGUCAAUUUUGUGGGUUCCAUAUUCUUCCCCACUCCAAGCUUUUCAAUACUGUGGCAGGCUUAGGCUAUAUUUUGAGCCCAUGGUCGAUUUGGCUAAUGUUAGGCCCAAUUAUAAUUGAACUGAAAAAGAAAGUAAAUCGCUUUAAUUCAGAAGCACCGCAAACGAGGUCAUGUCUUCGAAUCUUCCCUCGUCCAAUACCACUUGUAUCAAAAAAAUAAAAAUAACUAAAUAAAGAGUUUAUUAAUUGGGUUGUUUUCUACAUAACCCCCAAUAACCAUAACAAGCAAAUCUGAUGGCAAACAGAUAAUGCCAAAGCACCAAAACCAUUACAAACCAGAGCCAAAAUAAUGACCUGAAAACCCUGCUGCACUCCUAUCUCAUCUGGCUACAUGCUUGAAGUGGAUAAUGCUGCUGAAGCACCACCAUUACAAUGAUUAAACCCAUACCAAAUACCAUUGGGAAUAAAAGAGUUGUAAUAAAAUGUGACAGAUUUGGUGUAAUGACCAUAGAUUGUCACUGUCUGUGUUUUCCACCCAUCGUAUCCAUUCCUAUAGAGAUAUACAUAACAGAUCUGGUACGCACAUGGCCCAGAAAUCUGAAAUGUAUCUGUGGAGCAACUCUCGAAUGCCCUCGAAGAUGGAUCGUCUAUUCUGGGUGCAUACACCUGAUCAUCAUCCGAGAAAUAAAGAACAUUGAUAAAUGACUAAUUACCCAUUAUGCAGAAAUAUAUAUAAUCUUCUUUUGUGGGUUAUAUUAGCUGUAAUUGCCGCACUAGUGUGAUCACUCUGACACGUAGAAGUAUACACUGAUCAUGUUAUGUUGUUAGACUGUUAAUCCAAACAAUACAUAUCCAAACAUGAAUUUUUCAAUGUCUAAUUGAAGUACCUGAUUGCCAUAAGCAUCACCAAAUGCAAUACUGAUCUGAUCUCGUGUGUAUCUGGGUGAAGAACAGCUAGUCUUUAUUGAUACUGUGUAAGAACAGCUCCCUGCAUACUGUGAGAGGCCAUAACAGUUAAAUUCUCAUAUAGAAUCAAUAUAUUGCCCUCUUUCUCUGGUUCAAUAACAUUCACCACUUGCAAACAAAUCAAUGAUUUGAAUCAAUUUUUUUCACCUAGGUACUUGAUCUUUCAAAGGAUCUUGCCUUUUCAGCAAAAUCCCAGGACAGAAAUUUCUGGUUCUUUUUUCUUUUUUUCUACAUGCAGUACAAUACUACAAUUCAACUCUGUGUAUAUAAAUCUAUUUAUCAAGAAUUGCUUCCAAAUGAAUUGAUCAUACCUGGUUAUUGCUGAGCUUGAAGGAUCUGAGAGGUUGGGGCUGUGGAAUGAUUGAUCUGCCUUGUGUGAAGGUGAAGAGGAAGGCAAAAUGAAGCAGAAAACUCACAGCCUUCAUCAUUUUUAGUCUUCCCUUAACCCUUUUCAAUAUAGUCUGAACAGAAUGUGGUGCCAUCUUUAUAUACUAGAGCUCUCUCUCUCUCUCUCAAGCAUUAAUCUCUGUCAUGUUGCUAACAAAUCAUUAGUUGUAACUUGUAUUAGGUGAAAACCACCGUAGAUUCAGUGCACUCAAAACUUAAGUCACUGUUGGAUUUACAUAAUAACAUGAAUUUUCCUUUUUUUUUCCUUUUUUUUGGUCAUUUUUAUUUACAAGCGAUAAAUUAAACUAUAAAAUAAAUAAAAAGUUUAAAUAUGAGACCAUCUACAAGUUAAAGUCCUUUUUUAUUGGGUUAUAUCCCUUGCUUCUUUGUCAUGUUGUUUACACGGCAUUAGUUGUAUUAGUUGAAACCACAGUAGAUUCAGUGCACUCAAGAAUUAAUUCACUGUUGGAUUUACAUAAUAAUAUGAAAUUUCCUUCUUUUGUCUUUGGUAAGUAAAUAAUAUGAAAUUUCAGCCACAGGUGGAGCAGGACAAUUUUACACACCAGACCAGAGUGAAGUAAUGUAUAUUAAUGAGGUCACUUCCAAAAGAAAAAACAACAUUUAAUGUUCCAUCCAGCGCAGGCCACCACGUGUACACCUGCACACAUGUACACCUUUUGGUCCUUUAAUUUUUCCUUUUGUUGUCUGCCAAUGUAGCUUGGCUGGCAGGACCUCAAUUAAGUACCAGGCAAAACUUAUAAGCAGCCACUUGUUUUUCUUUGGCUGAAUUUUAACCCUUCAUUUUAAAGGGUUUUCUUCUUGUUUUUUUGCGACACUUGUUAUAGAAUUAGUCAUAUAGUUUCCAAUUUACACACCUUACAUGGAAAAGCUAGUUCCAGCCCAACCACAUUCAAAAACUGAUUCCUCCAAUUUGCUGAGCACUUCCCAUUGAAAAAAUAAAUGGCAGAUGGGUGAGGUGAGUUGGUCAGGACAGUGAGUUCAUUCUUUUAGAAACAUUUGAAUUAUUGCUUCUAUAUAAAGUAAAAUAAAAAUAAUAUAUUGUCAAAAUUUGGAGAAAAACAUCCACCAACAAAGAGCUAACCCAUCAAGAGCCUCAUUAAAGAACCAAAUUCCCAAUCCAGAUUUUAGCUUCAAUUUGCCAAACAAUCCACAACAUAAUUUUUUUCCCUGUAAAUGUGGAUAAACUCGCAAUUUCCAAUUUGUCUUAUGAGAUCACAAUAACUAUGCACCAAAGUACGAAUUAUCACUUCCAGAUUUCUAAUGAUAAAAUUAGUCCUGAUAUUACAAUUAAACUCAUUGAAACUGAAAAGAGAAACAGCAAGCUCAUUAAAACAAAAAGAGAAUAUUGCAUUGAACUCACAUGCUAUUCUUAUUAUCUUGCUUGAUCUCAAACAUGCCAGUUAAAGUUGAUAGUUUAAUCGUUUUAGUUUCCUCUAAUAUCUCUUGAUCCAACAGAAAAUAUUGCAUUUCUACGCCACACAUACAUUAAAACAGAUAAUGGAAAAUCUCAUUAUCUAACUUUAAGAAACUCUUGGUAAUUUUUUAUUUUUUUUAAUGGGGAGACUCUUUAAUGAAUGAAAAAUCAGACUUAAAAGAACUUUUCUAUCUCACACGCCCUUUGUAGGCAUUUGAUGAGAAAAAUAGAUGAAUGGCAUUCAAUAUCCAUUUUUUGAGGUUGUGGAAUAAAUGUGAUUGGUUUUUUUUUUUUAGUAUAAGUUUAAAUUACAUGGGAGGGGAUUUCUCUCACACACACAAAAUAAAUGUGAUUGUUUUGUUAGGUAGAUGGUGUCUCAUAGAAAUGGUCAAAAAUCUUGGUCAUUGCUUGAUGCGAUGAGGGUAAACUUAUUAAAAUAGACAAUAGUCCCACAUAUUGUGUCUUACAAGUCACACAUAUAGGAAUGGGACUCAUAAAUUCAUGUUGCUAGAGCAUAAAUAACAAUUAUCUUCAUUCUAUAAAACAAAAAAAGCCAUAUCGAAUAAUUUUAUUACACAAACAUAGUAAAUAAUUAAUACAAACAAAUCUGAAAAGGAAAAUGAAUAUAUCAAUUAAUUUAAACACAUCCCUUCUUCUUUCUGUUCAAUCUUGUCUCUAGUUAUGCACAUUGGUUUAUAGCCUUAUAGGCAUUGAAGAGUUGAUCUUAUCCUUUUCGGUGAAACCUUCAUUUUAAGAGCGGGUUUUUUUAAAAAAAAAAAAUUUAGAAGAAGAAUUAAUAUAUAACAAAAACGAUAUACCAAUUUAUAACAAAAAAAGGUAUACAAACAAUGACACAAAUACAAUGACCUCGUUAAAAUAUUUCUAGAAAAAACCACAUGAAACAAACCCUAGAUGAGGAAAGAGUACCACACACACCAUGGACUAACAAGAGAGUCCGACCCAGGCCACAUUGGACCACUACUUCGAACCAUAAUAGUAAGAAAAAAAAGCCUACUGGACACCAACAGAGUAGACCCACAUGAGAGAACCACAAACCCAUCCCAACUGUCAAAAGAAGCCUUUUAUGAGAACUCAUAGUCCAUUGUACAAUAUAUGAACUGUAGAGCACACCAAAGGUCAGAGACAUAACAGAGCACACCAAGAAAAUCACGGAGACUACCGUAGAGAGAAACCCCAUGGAAGCGCAGUAACUCAGAAGAGAAAAUUUGCAAAGGGCAAGACAUCGGGAUAAACAAAACAAAAAACAAGAACCCAAACGAAGAAAACCCCUCAGAGAGCACACCACCGCAGACUAACAAUGGCAAAGGAAACGUAGUCCGUUAGGCAACACAAACAUUGAGAAGCAUGCUGAGAGUCAGAAGACAGAAAGAAACACUACACUAAACAAAACAUAAAAAAAAAACAUAGACGCGACUAGUGAACCCUAAACAAAACAAAGCACCACUAUAAACCCAGCAAAUAACAACCCACCACAACAUAAGACUGUCAAAUAAAAAUUCAUACAUGUGCAUAGUUCUUUGUACAGUGCAGAAAGCUGGUCAUGAGUGUCAAAGAAAAGCCAACAUAAGCACCAAAUGUCAUCUUCUUGUUUCUUAUUCCAAACCCCUAACUGACAAAGCAAAAGGGACCAAGAUCGGCCUCUUAGCAUGGCAAACUUCAAAUAGAAGGUCAUCAAAAUAAGAACGUUUAUCAGAUAUCAAACAAACGUUCCAUCAGACACCUCAAGGAGACCUGGGAGACCCACUAGGUUGGUCUCCAUUGCCUUGUGAUCAAUACAAGCACCUGAAGCAUCCGAGAGCAUAAGGUACGUCCCAAAAAAUUGCUCAAGGUCAUGAAAUACUCCAACACUACUCGGAUUCGCAAUCUUCAUCGCAAAAUAAACAAACAAACUCGUAUAGAUGAGGAAAAAGAUGGUACCCAAUAACCUUAGUAGCCAAAAACCUUGCCCAACAUCGAGAACAUCUUGGAACUUACGGUAGAGGCGCUGUAAGGGGAACCACAUCCACUGUGACCGCCGAGCCCAACAAAACAGGUUGCACUGUGACUGUCGUUGACUAGGAAACUGGCGGCACAAUAGCAGAAACAAAUCCACCGAAACCACCAUACCAAGGCAACCACCAGAAACACCGACGCACUUCGAAGAAAGAGAAUGACAGCGAAAACCCAAACUGAAAGGGCGGAGAGGGAGCAUCGCAAAUCAUUGGAGCGAACUAGUACCACCAAGAAGCCAAAAGAAACAAGACAAUACACGAAGGAAACUAAUGCCCAGGAUCUAGGAGAGACCAAAGGCAGACCUAAGGCUAGGCUGGAAUGGGCUCCAGCCUAGGGGAACAUUUAUGAAAUAUUAAACAUGGUCUUAAUUAUUAUUAUAGGUUUAUUCCUACUCAAAUAAAUAUUAGCUCAUUGUACCAAAUAAAUAUAGCCCACACAUGCAUUGUUUUUCUUUUUUUAAUAAAUUAAUAAUAGCCCAAUCUAAGUAAAGUAAAUAAUAGCUCAGUCCUCUAUUUAAAAUAAGCACACUCUUGAAACAUAUAGGAAAUAAUAAACGUCAAUCCAAUCCAAACCUAUAUAAAUUUGAUUAGAAGCAGAACUCACGCUAAGGCUCUAUCAACUUAAGCUAUUCUAAUCGUACUGAUAUUGGGCUACGCCCACAUAAAGCAAACAUCAAAAAAUUUCUUCUAGCCACCCAAAACGCCAUAUUUGUACCUUGAAAACCUAGAGGAAAUAGCUCUCUUCUAAAAAAUUGUACCAACCUAUCUUGAGUGGGUUCUUCAAUCUUGGUAAGGUUUUUUUAUUUAUUAUUAUUUUAAAUAUAUAUAUAUAUAUUCAAUUUUCAAUUUUAAUUGUUGUUAUUGAGUUUUUAUGAUUUAGGGUUUGAGUGAAAACUUUUGGAGAUUGUUGAUAUAUGUUUUAUUUUUGCAACUUGAAUUAUUAAUUAGCAUAUAUGAUUUUUAAUGUCUAGUAUUUUUGGGGAAUCAACUUAUUGUAUCUUGUUGAUAAAGAAAAAUAUGCAUCUAAUAGAAAGCAAAUGGCCAUUGUUUUAAGAUUUGUUGAUAAUGAUAGUUUUGUACGAGAACGUUUUUUUGAGAUUGUUUGGUAUUUAUUUAUAUUUUGUACUUCUUUGUAUUAUAUUUGCUCGUAUUGUAGCUUUAUUUGAUUUAUAAAAUUUCAUUUACAUUUUUGUUUCAAGAGAAAAAAGACUUAUAAUAUAUCUUCUUUAUAAAAAUAGAAAUAAAUAUAUAGCCUACCCCUAUAAAAAUUCCUAAAUCCACCAUUGAGAGAGACAAUAAGGCCAGCACCCCGAAAUCAAAGCGUUGAGUGACAACAACCGCUCAAUGCGGAAGAUAAACCUAAGCAUAAUAUUUUAGCUCGGUUCUCCUCACUAGGAAGAGAGUGACCCAUCGCGUAAGGUUUGUUUUCUUUUACUAUUUGUUUCUAUCUAUAUGAUUAGUGUCUUUUACAAAAUAUUCUCUUAUUUUUGUAGCUACUUUUCAAUUAGAAACCUUAAUGGUGCCUCAAUGUGUUGCUCAGCUGCUAAGGACCUUUGUUUUAUACAAUCUGCCUCAAUGUAGUGCGCUAUGUAUGGCUUGCCAGGAACCAUGGUUAUUUUAUAGACUAUGAAUAUUUUAUGGAGUAAAAAUCUGAUUAUUAAUCUUUCGGUAUAAAAUAUAUAAUCUCUAAGUUUUAUUACCAACUAGCACUUAAUUUAAUGGUAUUUCUCUUCAAAAUAAUGAAAAAGUUCUAAAGUUCGAACCCAGCCCAAGUUAUUGGGAAAAAGUUAGCAGCAAAACAUAAAUUGAUGAUCGCUCAUUAAAUCUACAAUGAUAUGGAAUUAAGAAUUUUGGAAACAGUGUAUAUAAAGUUAAAUAACAAGCAAUUGCUUAAAGCUGCGACACAUAAACAUAUGGUCAGCAAACUGCCACAAGAACCAUCUUGGCUUCUGCUGCAAAACCCUACUAUAGCUACAACAAGGAACUGACUUAACAUUAUGUUCAGAAUAUCGAAAAAUGCGGGUAUUUACUAUUUUCCUAUUAUCUUCUCCCCACCGAAAAUGCAAGAAAAUAUCUCCACUAGAAGUUUGAAAACAUAAUGGCUGUCACAAAGCCUGGACAACAUACUGGGCAUGAAUUCAGCAGUGCCGCUGUUACAUCAAGAAGCUUUUGGUUCAACGCUCACUUGGAAGCUUGAUUUAAAACUCAGUAGGAGGCUUUAACCUUAUUAGUCUCUUGAUUCUGUCUUUUUCCGUAUUCUCCAGCAACCCCUGCAAAGUAUAGGAAAACAGAUGUCAAAGAAGAUAAAAUUCAACAUUAUAAAGCAAAAUGUUAGGCAGCAAUAUAGAAUUGCCAUGUAACAUGAAGUCAGUAUGUGAAGAUGAAACAAUGGAUAAGAAGCAAAGCUUUCUAUCAACCUAUCAACCCAAAUAAUAAAACGAAACUAAAAGAAAGGUAAGGCUUGCUUGUAAUGUAAUUAUAAAGGAAAGUUGGAAAUUUCCAUAUUUCCCAUUCUAAUCGGGAGCUGUGAUUUAACAUUUAGUCUCGGAUGAUUGUGAGCCUCCACCACCCUGCCACUAAAAUAAUACCAAAGUGGUGUUGGUCUGACUACUAUGGACAACUUCUACCACAUGAUUUUCAUUGUGCUGUUGGGAUGGUUGCCGUAAGAUGCAGCCAUCAAAGGAAUUCCAUACUAAAUGAUUUAACUUGUUGGAUGUUUUGGUGAAGGAUGAACAAACAACAACAAUUUUUGUUUUUUGUUUUUAAUACAAUGCUUUAAUUAUUUAAAACUUAUUCAUCACCUCACCUUCCAAACAAUUUCAUCCAGACACAAGCAAAUUCUUCCAUACUUAUCCAGGAAAAGGCGCUCAGUUGGAGGUUUCCCACAUACAUCCUUCACAGCUGAUGUUAUCACAAAGAUCACCUCUGACACUAGCAAGAAUCCAUCCAGGUUAGAGAAGCAAAACCAGAAAAAUAAAGCACGGCACACCUCUCCCAUUCAAAAGAAAUUGUUCCAAUUUGGCCAAUGGUAAGCACCACAAAGAGAGUAUCAUUUUGAAUUUGUUUACUGUAAGUGAUAGUGUCAAUUUUCCAUUCAAAAAAGUGCUACCUUUGGCCAAUUGCACCAAGCACUAAAGCAGAGUCAGUGACUCAGUAAUGUGUGGAAAGAGAUAGCAGUUGUUUUUCACUUGUUUCUUUAGAGCAAUGGCAUAAAUUUUCCUACUAUAGCACUGGCCGGCCGUAAUAGGUGAGAACCUUGCUAUCAUAAAGAUAUUUGACAACAUGAAUCUAUUUUGGAAAGCAUGCAAAAAUUACACAUGCAAAAGGGAAAAGCUUUUCACCUUAGUUGCAACUAACUAAACUACUGAUUGAAAAGGUAUCAAAAGGAUGUGAAAACUGCUCGUUCAGAACUCUAAUCUCAAACAAGAGUGAAGUGCAAUUUUAGCUUUCGAUUGACAGUUUCAUCCUGCCCUUUCUAUAAACUAGCAUCAUAUUCUUGAACUGAGUAAUGAAUACUUACAGGCUAGUUCAUCAUACUCAUCCUUGCCCACAACAUAGAUGCUGACAUCCCCAAGCACAGUGUAAACAAUGUAAACUGACCUGAUAAUACAUCAAUGCAAGUCAAAUAAUGUAAACUGAUACCAGAUUCUGAGUCACAUUUUUUUUUUAAUUCAUUUAAAAAUAGGAAUAGCAUUAUUUCUGUGAAGGUCACAACUUUAAUGCAAAAGGGAGUUCUUUGCUGAAGACUUAAUUCCAAAAAGCUUUCCUUGACAAAAGAAAAUUUCAAAACCUUUAUAUGUUUUAUUAUACCCCAGCAUUAUAUUCUCAUUGGAGGAAAUUUUAGGCUCCAGCUCAAUUCUUGGAUCCAAUCCCCAAGGUAUGUGAUGACACUAGAACAACUAAGGCAAUCCCAACAUAGACAUUAAGCAUUAAAUGUGCAGGACGAAAAAAGAGAAAAGUAUACAUACUUGUGGCAAGCAACAAGGAGCUCUUCAUUUUUCACACCCCUAAGAUUUUCUGCCCCUAGUUUGACUAGGAAAGAUCGCCAAUGCAGCCGUUCCUCAGCAGGAACUCCAUUGAAACUGCAAUGAGCAUAGAACCCUGGAGUCAAUGCUUCAAAUAUAGGAAACAUAAAUGCACAAAAAUGUCAAAACAAUUAAUUCAAGAGUGCUCUUUCGUACUCGAUAUAUUCCAUACAGCAAUUGCAUAUACAUUAUACAACGAAGCAGAAAGAUGAGGUCUUUUAUAGCAAAUGCUGUAUAAUUUUCACACCAUGCUAUACAUGAAUCGUUGUAUAUUGUUAACUAUCCUUUUCACUUCUUAAUCUGAUAGGAUAUUGUACAACAGAAAGCCAUCCAUUUAAACGUCAGCGAUUCCCCAUUACACCAUUUCAAGAAAAAUAAAAAACCAUCGAAGAAAAACAAAGUCCACCCGAUUCAAACCAUAAACACAAAGUAAAAGACAAACUAUACAGAAAUGAAAUACCCAAAACACAAUUCAGAUCCAAGUCGUAAGAUUUCGAAGCUAGAUUAACUAAACCCACAAAAGGGUAUACCAAAAUUAAUAACUUUCAGUCAAAAACACCACAAACAGAAUCCAAAGUUACAAGUUCAUGACGUUGGAGAAAUUUCAAAACAUUUUGAAUAAAGAACGGAAGAUGUAGAUCCGCACUUACCGUUCAACUAGGAUGUUGCCUUCCGAGUUGGCGAACAAGACUGCAAGUAUCAUAGCUCGCUUGCAGAAUUGAGUAGUAAAUAGGUAGGAUCAAUGUAAACCACCAAUUAUCAAUUAUGCGAUAAACUUGUUUGAAAAAGGUCAAAUUUUCUAUACGAUUCAAAGCUUUCCAAAACCAAUCUGAAUCUGACUAUAUUGCAGAAUUGUAACGUUACUGUUGCUGGUUUUAGUGGGAGUUGGAAUCGUUUUCUUUGGUUGGCUUUCGGGGUCUUCUGCUCCUUCUAUGCAGAUCUUGGAGCUGGGUUCUUGUUAUAUAUUUUUAAUUUAUUAUUAUUUCUUAUUAUUAUUUGGUUGUUCCCUUGUUGCCUCGGUGCCUUUUUUUUUUGGUAUUUCUGGGCUGUGGCCUUUUGGUUUUGUAAUUUCGGCUUCUCUGUUUAGCCUUUUCCCUUGGGCCAAUAGGCUGAUUUUUUUAUUUUUUUUAUUUUUUAUUUUUUUUCCUUCUAGAUUUUUAAAAUAUAUAAGUGAUAGUUUUAAUUUCCUCUAAUAUCUCUUGAUCCAGCAGAAAAUAUUGCAUUUCUAUGCCACACAUACAUUAAAACAGAUAAUAAAAAAUCUAAUUAUCUAACUUUAAGAAACUCUUGGUAAUUUUUUUUUGAGAUUUUCUAUUUAAACCCCCUCACUUUUCUUUGUUUACCCCAAUACUUAAAUCAUUAAGCUGUAAGUUUUAUUAUUGUGUAAAAAGACAAAAAAUGUCAUCCAACUUAAUAAUUAAUUCUAGUACAUCUAUACACACACCCCACCACUCUUCAUAUUAUGUUUUAAAAACUUCCUUCCAACUUCUUGUUUACAAACUCUCUCUCUCUCUCUCUCUCUCUCUCUCUCUCUCUCUCUCUCUCUCUCUCUCUCUCUCUCAAGUUCUCAACUCUCAACAAUACCCAAGUGUUAGAAUUCCAAUUACAGUUCUUGGAGAGAGGUAAAGUUGUUCUCUUUCUCUAGAAAGUAUUAAAUUUCGGAUUUGGGGUUUCAUUUGUUUGUGUUUUUUUUUUGCUGGGAACAAAGAAAAUUAUGGGGUUUCAUUAGAAUUUUUUUUUUCUUCUAUUUGGGGUGUAUUUAAGGGUAGUUUGGGAAGAUAAUGGGGGUUCUUAGAAAUUGUGAAAAUUUAAAUUAAAAGUUGGGGUGAACUUAGAACAUGAGGUGAAGUAAGAGAAGUGUGGGGUUUAAAUAAAAAAUCUUUUUUUUUUUUUUGGAUGGGGAGACUCUUUAAUGAAAGAAAAAUUAGACUUAAAAGAACUUUUUCUAUCUCACACGCUCUCUGUAGGCAUUUGAUGAGAAAAAUAGAUGAAUGGCAUUCAAUAUCCAUUUUUUGAGGUUGUGGAAUAAAUGUGAUUGGUUUUUUUUUUUUUUUUAGUAUAAGCAAUAGUCGAAACUACAUGGGAGGGGAUUUCACACACACACACAAUAAAUGUGAUUUUUUUUUUGUUAGAUAGAUGGUGUCUCAUAGAAUUGGUCAAAAGUCUUGGCCGUUGUUUGAUGUGAUGAGACUGAACUUAUUAAAAUGGACAAUAGUCCCACAUAUUGUGUCUUACAAGUCACACCUAUAGAAGUGGGACUCAUAAAUUUCGUAUGACACGAGACACUCUUACACUCUGCAAGUUAUGUUCGCAGAGCAUAAAAAACAAUUCCCUUCAUUCCAUAAAACAAAACAAAAAAGCCAUAUCUAAUAAUUUUAUUACACAAACAUAGUAAAUAAUUAAUACAAACAAAUCUCAAAAGGAAAAUGAAUAUAUCUAUUAAUUUAAUGCAAUGCGUGUGGUGAUUAAACUCAGAAGAAUAAGUAAUAGUUAUGAACCCUAACCCAACAGAGAGAAGAAAUAGGUAUGAGAGAGAGAGGGAGCACCAGCUACCUGCCCUUAUUUUCCACCAUUGCAUUUCCUCUAUUUUCACAACGAUAAAAUUAUAUGUUAUUUUAAUGAACAGUAAUUGCAACUAUUUGGCCUACGCUUGCGUACCGAAGAAAGAUUGUAAACCUAUACCUCCUACAAUUAUAUACGAGUCACAUCCUUCUAGCUGUAACCUAAAGUUGUACCUUUGGAUCGAAAAACAUCUCCAAUACAGUACUCCCUGGUUAUAAAGUGCAAAGAAAAUGUGAGAGGCCCAACGCUGGAGGCUCAGAAAGACAGAGCAAUCCCAGGAUCCAAGCAGUUUGGACUUUUUCGUUCAAAUGGAAUCGAGAGCCCAAAUUCAAGAAAGCACCAGUCCAAAAUCAAAAAGCCCAUGUCAAUUUCUGGGCAACCAUUAGAAUCUUUUUUAGAUUGGGCCAAUUCUCAAACACACCCAGCCCAUUUCUUUUUAAGAAAAAGGCCAUGAGGCAAAACAUAUGAGUUUUUAUCCACUAAAAAAGACUAGCCCAACCUUCUUACAAAAAGCCAACAUAUCUUUUUUGGAAAAUCUAUUCUCAAAGAAACCCACGUGACCACGUGACCACUUGACUUUGAAAAGUCAACAAUUUCAACUAUCACAAGAGAGGUGAUAGGAAAUUAAAUGAAGGCAAGUCUUACAGGAAGACUUCUCCAGUUUUUACAGUCAAAGAAGAAGAUCAAAACCCUUUUCUAUAUACGAAGAAAAUUCUGCACCAGAACAGGCAUAAUUUCCAAGGAAUAAGCAGACUAUAUUUUCUAAAGAGAUAAGUAGGGAGUAGGAAGUUGCUCAUCUAAAAAAGCAAACUGACCAUCAUGGCAGAUUGUGUUCUUUCUCUUUACAAGAAACAAACAGGGAACAAAGAAGAGUUAGUUUUUCUUUUAGAAAAAGCAAGGAAAAGACCUCCAUGAAAGCAGAUUGUUGAUAGCCUUUCUCUGCCGGAACAGAUAACUUCCCUUUUUCUUUGCAUUUUAAAUAAAAGAUCUUGCUUUUGGAAAAUUUGCCGCCCAUUAUUAAAAUAUUAGAAAGCCCCACUCCAGCAUUUUCUAUAAAUAUUAGAGGAGGUGAACAGAUCAAAAGACAGCCAAAAAAUCAAUCAAAAAAUAAAAACUCAAAAUGAUCACUUGAUCUCAAAAGCCUUCAAAACACUGAAGCAACUAAGUCCAGCCAUUUCUGGCACUUCUAGACUGAAGAGGUUCCAAUUUUGCCCGUUCAAAAAGCCUUCCAGGGCUUGAAAUAGAUUAAAGUUCUGCCAAACUCGAACAUUGGUAUUGAUUCACAGCUGAAACUUGAUAGUUGAAGGUGUUGAUAGUUCAGUCCAGUACAGACAUACGCAAUCCAGUCCGGAUCAGGAGCAUUUAUCCAGGCAGAAAUUGAAGUCCAAAAGCUCUUUUCGUCUUUUUAGAGUUGGUCUUCCCCUUUUGAGCUUUGUAAAAGGCAGUUCUGCCUAAAACAGUUCACUUUCUUAUCAUUUAUUCUGACAAAAACUAUCAGUUUGUAUUGUGAAAAAUUAUGAGGUCCUCACCAGUCUGAGGCAAGAAAAGAACUUACUUGGAAGAUAUUCCUCACCCAAAUUCACACUCACCCAAAUUCACAAUCGCUUGUUUAGAAAUCAGUAACUUGGGGCGCAAGUUAUCUAUUUUUAAGAAGUCUGCUAGAGUUUUUAUUGCUAGCAGUGACACGCUUGCACACAAAAGAAAGUUGACAUGUUGACCAGUCAAUGGUUUUUAGGACAAUAGGAAACUUUACCUUACCAUCACAUGAACAAAUAUAAAACGAGUGAACACUCCCUACAUUGAUCUUUAUGUGUUGUUGUUCCCUUUCUUUCAAACCCCAUAAUCCCACAGCCAUCUCAAAUCCAAUUUUGUGUAAAAUCAGUUUGUUUAUAAAAAAAAUAAAAAAACUCCAGAUAGGUGGGUGGUUGGAAAAGAGCAGAGGGAGGAUGGUGGAGACGUUGUUGUCAAAGUGAGAGGGAGGAGAGGAGAGAUAAAGUGAGAGAAGGUAGACAAUUGAGAAAUUGAAUCUCACUAUCGGUUGUUAUUUUUCAUACUGAUAAAAGAGACCCCAUUGUAACUUAUUUUUCUUUUUUAAUAUCAACCAUCCGUUUUGAUCCAUCGGUCAAAAUUAUUUCUCACACCAAACCUGGUUGGCCCAAUAAGAAAAUAUUGGAAACUACCUUCAGCACAACAUUUUCCAACUAGCAUAAUUUAUAUAUAUAAAAGAAUUCGCGGACCAUGAUGGAGGAAUCCACUGGAUUAAUGGUUAUUCACAGUUGUUGGACUCAUCUCUUCAACAAGUUUAGUAAUGAGAAUAACGGCCCUAUUGUUCCAUAGGAGAUUCACUAUUAUACUCAAUAUAGGAGUUUAAAUUAUUUAAAAAAAAAUUGUAUGAAAUGGACUUUAGAAACACACCCAAAACUCAUUUACAACAUAACAAAAAGACUUUUAAGUUCUUUUAAAUUACAAAAUUACCAUUGAUUUCUUAAAACAAAUUCAACCCCAGAACCUCAUAAAAAAGUCCAAAACAUUUAAUAGGGCAUUAAAGUAAUUUAAUAAUUAAAAUUAAAUUCAAUAGAGUCAGUUGUCAUUUUUUGGGUUUGUUUAUAGAAUUAAAUAGUAUAUGAUUUAUUUAUAAUUUUAGUGCUAAAAAUAAGUAUAUGACUAAAUAUCUCUUUUUCCAAUAGAAAGAAGAACCUACUAUUAGCUUUUCGAGAAAUAUCCAUUAUAUAAGGCAAAAAAAGAAAAUACAUAUUUCUCGGCCAUAUGGAGACUAUGCCUAAGACCAUAUGGCUAAUAAUGAUAUGCACCCUGCCCCAAGAAGAACUGAUAAAUUGGCCCCAGCCAGAAGCCUUAUAUUGCUCUGCAGCUUUGAGUUCAUAAGCUCGGCCACAAGCAUAUCGACCAGCGACAUGUAAAUUAAAAUACCCGCUGAAGCCGCGUUUAAAACGCCUUCAACCACAAGGGCUGUCGGGCUGUUUUCUGUAUAGAUGUUCGAUAUUCCAAUCCCGAUCGCAACUCCAAUAGGAGUUGUGAGGGAGAAGAACAGUGCCAUGACUGCAGUUGCUCGAGACUUGAAAUUCGCCUACAAAAAAUAAGAACAUGAAAAAAAUCCCGUCAAUUAACGUCAUCCAGAGUUUAAUUGAACUAUAGGAAUCAAUUAAGAUGCAUAAUUAAUGGCUGGUAAAGCAGUUACCUGAGCUAUACAUCCACCAAGGCCUAUGCCUUCAAAAAAUUGAUAAAAGGCUAACGCAGCAACUAAGGGCCUUAUGGUGUCUGGACUUCCAGAAACACCCAAGGAGAUUCCUAUGAUGAUGGAGUGGACGACAGUACCCAACUCCAAAACCUGCAACAAAGUACAAACAAAAGAAUUAGUAUUCAAAACAUUAAUUAAAACAAAAUAAAGCGAACGGAGUGGGCCAUAUUAGUAAUUAUUAAACAUUAAUUAACAUUAAUCACCCUGUUACUAAUCAAAGUUCCAAUGGCAGCAACCGUCGCCACAAACCCAGUGAAGGGAAACAUCCUCCACGGGUUCUCCUUCAGGCAUGGAGACGUCAAGCUUUCGAAGGCAUCGGGAAGGACAUGAAUGAAGCCGGUGGCCAAUAUGACACCGGCUGCAAACACCUUGAUUAUUGAAAACAGGCUGCUGCCCGGAUUUAGACAAGGUAUGGCCUUCCCAAGAAUGGGAAUGCCAACACCCAUUGCGCCAGCAAACAGUACGAAUGCAAUGGCUGCGACUUUUAAUUUUAGGGCCUGGGGUUUGUGCCCCUGCCCAGCUUCAGUAGCCUCAGCCUCACCGGAGCAGUCGGCGAAAACCACCACGGGAAUUAUUAAAAGGCAUAAGGACGCGAAGAUAAUUGGUUUGUUCAUUGUCAAAAAGUCGGUGAAGAUCUAAUAGAAUUAUGAGAGCGAGGGAAGAGAUGAUCUGAAAGAAGUAUUAGUUUGAAAUUCAACUUUCAAAGUAGGAGUGAGGGAAGAGUUGAAGGGGUGGUAGUAGUAACACCUUAUAUAGGGAGAUGAUAUUCAUGAAAAAUAUCAUGACAAGUUCGUGAGGGAUUCUGUUUCAACCCAAAAUAAGGCACGCUUGCACAUCAAAGAAAUUCCUUCCUUCCUAACUGGAUACUAAUAUACUAUUGUCUACGACAGAGUCGUGGGGAUCAAACGCAGAAGUAAUGCUGCGAAUUUUUAUCUGAAUUCUAGCAGUGUUAUAAUACGUGUGGGGCAUUUCGCAUUAUAGUGGGAAUAUCUAAGUCUCUGUAUUGCCUCUUCUUGUGCUAUAUUAGCUCUGUAUUGCUCAUCUAACCUGAAGCUACCAUGAAAUUGUACAAUGGGCCAAUUCCAUUGCAAGUCUCAAGUCUAACAAGCUUGUCCAUUAAGAAUCCAAUCGGCAAACAAUUGGUGCAAAAUCAAGUCCGCAAAUUAUAGAUUAAUGGGCUCAAAUCUAAAAUACCCAUUAAUUCCCAAAUUAUUAAAUUAAAGUCUAAGUGGUACAAAACCAUUCAAAUUAAAUUAAUCUUUUUUUAACUACGUCGGUUUGAUUCUGUUAAGGAUACAUACACAAUCUAGCAUCCUACUUGAUGCAACUACAAUCAAAUCUGAAUCGUUGCUUACCUCGACCAAAUUCCCACAAAUCAAAUCAAAUCCAUACCAACCAUUUUGGAAAUACAUCAUAACAGCACUAGAGAUCCACAAAUUGAGUGAUGAAAAUGAGAUACGGUCCUGAAUGGUUGAGCAGAUUAACAAAGUGAGUCAAAGUCUUGUUGACUCUUUAAUCUACCAAGCGUUGAUGUGUUAAUUAUUAUUUUUUUUUUCUGGUAUCUAAUUUGAUAGAGAUACAAGAAUAUGCUAAAGUUGUCGUAGCAUGAUGAUCCUGCAAUUGAUUGUACUAUAAGCUCCCUUGGUUAUCCCAUGACUAUUCCCUUGUCUACCUAAUACAAGAAAAAAUAUGUAUGUAAUAAAAAAAUAAAAUAAAAAGAAUAAAUAUGUAUGUUGCAGUCUUCUCCCAUUGAAAGUUGGUUGUGGGAAAAUAUUAUAGAUUAAUUAGGAGCAGCACAAACUAGAUGGAGAGGAAAUUUUAAGUUUAGUGCAUCUCAUCUGUGAAGUCGAAUCAAAACUUAUUCUUCUGUUAAUGGUAAUUAUUAUUAACUUUUAGUUUUAUUGUACCUUUAAGAUUACACACAUUCAUGAAGAGUUUGAAGGCGAAGUGUUGUCAUUGAAGUAAACAUAUGAUAAUGUGGUACAAGAAAAGCAUAAAUUCCACAAUUAGGUUUCAGAUCUGGUUCAAUUCUCUCUUUUAAUAUAAUUAUGUGCCGAUAUUUGUCUUUUUCUUUCUAAAUUUCCAUUACUUAGUAUGCAAAUACAUCAAUAGUUUGAAACUUAAUGUAUAUUAGGUUGGUGGUAUGGUAUCAUUGGUCCCUUAGAUUUGUGUGAUGAGAAUGAGAAUCGAUGUCGUUGUCAUUACACUGGUGAGAAAGUAAUUUCAGUUUUUGACAUUCUCCUGAAUUUUCUUUAUUUCAUUUUGAUUACUGAAAUACUACAAGAAAAUAGCCCUUAACACUGCUUAAUUGACGUUUAAAACAACCUUAGCAUAGUGUGGAAUACAUAUGGGAUAUUGUAAAUAUUUGAUUCUCUUAAGGUUUGUAUUUAACCUUUUAGGCAUCUUUGAACUAUCUGGUAUUCCAAUUUCAUUUCAAAGAUGACGUGCAAUGAAUCAAUCUUUGUCAAACUUGGAAACUUCUGUGCUAGUAUCAUUUGUAGGUGACAUAAUUUAAUGAAUUUUUUUUUUUUCAUGUGUAUAACAUGAAAAUCAAAGACUUCCAGUCAUCCUGCGUAUCAAUAUUUGGCAUUCUCUAUUAAAAGAUCUGACUAAUUAUAAUAAUGUCUUCCUAUUGAAUCCAUGAACCCUCUAUAGUGCCUCUGUAGUCCCUCUAUAGAGGGGCUUUGCCCAACACAUACAUAACACAUGGGCUCGUUUGGUACGUCGGACUGUACUAACUAAUUUCCGUCGGAUAGUAUUAAUCUGUUCCGGAGAGUACUGACUAUUUAUCCAUAAUAUUAUAAGGCGUUUGGUGCUGUUCCGGAUAAAUAAUCUGACUAAGUUAUACUGUGUUUGGUGAUGUUUCGGAUAACAUCAGAUCAAACUAUUUAUAAAUAAAAAAAUAAAAAAAAAUCUUUGAUAAUUUUAAUGGAAAUUGAGAUUCAACACAAAAUUUUUUUUUGGUAAGAUUCAUAUGACAAGAUUUGUUUUUCAAUUAUUUUUGCCAAGAUUUUUUUUCAUAUAACCCAUUAUCAUAAUUGUAGUAUCUCAUAAAAAUUCCAACAUACUCGCAUACGUUAAUAAAAACAAUACCAAAUAAUGUAUAAUUCAAAGUGAUCACAUAUUAAGGUGAUAAGAGCAAAAGAGAAAGUUGUUCAUAAACCAAACUACAUCAAAGAGUGAAUCAUAGCUCCCUCACCCCAAGUAAGAGAAGAACAAAUGCUUUUCUCAUAGCACCAUCCAAUGUCAGGAAUGUUUUUUCAUCACUUGCUUUCUCCAAAAUUAGCCGUAGUGCCUUAAUUUGGUCAUUAAUAGACAAGUCCACCUUUGCCUUUUCUAAUAGCAAUUGACAAAGAAAAAAAAAUGGUUCCUAGAAUUCAGGUUCAUACAAUUUUAAUUUUGUAAUUUUGCUCUCCUAGUCGUCAGGUAUGUAUGUAUUCAACUAAACUACCAACACUAGCACAUUUAUUUGUUUUUGGACGAAAACUGGCAAUACUCUAUUUAAUACCAACAAUCUAAAUAUUCCCACAACGUCGAAUCACUAUAUCAUAUACGAAGAAAAUAUUCGAUUAAAAAAAAUGUCAAAAAAGAAAAAUUCAUAACCUAAUUUCCACAAAAAAUUUGAAAUAUAUAAAGCAUAUUGGAGAGAAUAUGAAAAAGAGAGAGAGUGAGAUAUGGAUACCUGAAGAAGAGUGAAGGAAAUAACCUGUGGAGAAGAUAGCAGAGAAGAACCCUAAGGAGAAGAAGAUGAAAAGAGCGUCUGAUUUUUUUUCGUAAAACGUGUGUUCUUUUUUCCUAGCAAUAUAAUUAAGCGUGUAUUAUCUAAACCGGGGUGUGUGGGUUGUAUUAGUUAGUCAGAUAAGGAGAGUAUUAAAAGCCCAAUCUGUAUAAAUUAGUCGGGUAAUUAAAUAAUACAAGUUGAAACCAAACACCUAACAUAGACUAUUUAAUCCUAUUCAGAGUCUAAUACAGUGUACCAAACGAGCCCACAUAGUUUACACUGUGUUAGGGACGCGUGUUGUCCAUCUACAACGCCAUGUGUUCUUUUUCUAGCCUUUUUUUGUUGUUUAUCUAAAAAAUUUAAUAAAAAAUUAUACAAAAAUCAGAAAAAUAUACCGAAAAACACUACACACUCCUUACAAACCCUUUAAUUUUACGGGUCUAAAAUUAUGAUUCCACAUAUUUGAGUUCAGAAUAAUAAUUGGAUCAAAGAAGCAAGAAUGUUAUGUUAUUGAAAAAAUAACUAGUUUUUUUUUGUUUGUUUAAAAUCUAAUUUGCGUAUUUUGUUGUCACUUUUAAUUUUUAUAAAUAAAAAUAAGAUUUUUGAAGCUUUAAAGUGAAGAGAAUGUCACAAGGAAUUACUAUGAAUGUUUAAAAUUAAUUGACAGAAAAAUUCAUAUUAAAUUAAAAGAUUAACAUGUGUCAGCUGCUGACAAAUGUGCACACUGUAUCACUGACACGUGAUGUCCUACGACGGCGCCAUGUGACCAAUUUUUUGUUGUUGUAUAUCUUAAAACAUUCACAAAAAUUAAUUUUAAAAAAUCAGAAAAAUACACUAAAAAUUGAUAAAAAUUCCUUAGGACAACAUCUUUGACUACGAAGUGCUAAAAUCAAAAUGACUUAGGUAAAUUGAAAAUUAACAUUUGGAGGAAAGUGAAUGUUCUUCAACUUACUCUCACAUAAUUGAGUUUGAAAUUUUUUUGAUUUAUUUUAUAAUUCAAAAUUAUAUUUCAAAGCUUAAAAGAUGAUGAAAAUGUCACCAGGAGUUCGUAGGAUUUUUCGGUUAACUUUUUUUGAGUUUUUAUGAAGUUAUUAUGAAUGUUUAAACAUUGAAAAUAAGAAUAAAUUGAAGAAAAUGAUACGUGGCAAUGGUUUAGUGGUGCACCGUCAGUGCUUCCAACAAGUGUCACUCUCCGGUAGCUCCACAUGUUUUUUACAUCUUCUUUUUCCUUUUUGUUGUUGUUGUUGUUUAUCUUCAAAAAUUCACAAAUAAUUGAUUUUAAAAAAUCAUAAAAAUACAACGAAAAUGGAACAUUCCUUACCAUAUCAUCUUCAACUACGAAGCGUCAAAAUACGAAUCUUUCUUAGUGUCAAGGGACCGAACGACCAUUUGGGCGCUAAGUGGAUGAGCUUUAUCCAUGCCAAAUCGCUUCAAUACUUUUUCAGUAUAAUUUGAUUGAUGAAUCAAAAUCCCACUAGAACUAUGCUCAAUCUGCAAACCGAAACAAUACUUUGUCCAAGGUCUUUCAUCUUGAGUUUGUGUUUGAGGCAUUGGCGAAGUUAGAAUUUCAUGUGUCUGGGGGCCUCUCACAAAAUAUAAAUAAUAAAAACUUCGAACUCACAAGACAUCAAACCAAUAGAGAAUCACAUAUAUAUAAAUUUAUAAAAUAAAAUUAAAAUUUCACCAACACAAGUUCACAAUUGCAUUAAAGGGAUUAACAAUUACAUAUUACACAAGAAAAAUUAUAAGGGAUAGACAAUUGCAUACUUGGAGUUGAAUAGCAAUUUACCAAAUAUCUCCUAAGCCUUUUCCCUUUGGUAAUCUACACAUAAAUUGAAAGAAACAUUAAAAUCAAUAGAAAUUAAAUAAAUAAAAAACUUGAUAAUAUAAUUAGAAUUUAUGAAGAAAAAAAACUCACAAGCAACUGGCUGGUCUGUUCGUGUUUCUGACCCAAGAAAAGAGAAAAAGGCUUAAAUUUAUUGAUUUAUACAAGAAGACAAUAUAAUGAUAAUAGUAAUAAUAAUAAUUCUAAUCCUUUUAGGAAUGAGUAGUGUAUGAUUUUAGGAUAUUUGGCUGGUCAAUAGGGCCCUCGUUGAAAUCUACUUUGGCUGCUGGACCAUGCCACUAUGGCUUAACUUCUUCGGCUGAAAUCUUCUUUGGCCCAUAUGGCUUCUAAAUAUGUAGCCAGACUCCUACAUACUAGUACUAUUUUUUUAAAUAAAAUUUCAAUGGGGGCCAGUGACUGUACUAGUCCCUAUGUGCAUUUGCCUCUGGUUUGACAUAAUCGACAGUCUUUUAGAGCUCUUCAGGAGUUCCGACUAUAUUCAUGUCAUUGACAUAUACUACCAUUAUCGUAAACCCAUACUUUGAUUUCUUAAUAAACACACAUGGGCAAAUAGAAUCAUUUGUGUAUCAUUCCUCAAGUAAAUACUUACUAAGGCGAUUGUACCACAUUCGUCUGUAUUGCUUUAGCCCAUACAAUGAUCGUCUCAACUUAAUUGAGAACAUGCCUCGUGAUUUAUUGGUCGCUACUUCAGGCAACUUAAGUCCUUCUAGGACUUUCAUGUAUAUAUUUGUAUCCAGUUCUCCAUACAGAUAUGUGGUAAGGAUAUCCAUAAGUAAUUUUUCCAUUAUAUAAUAAAUAUAUAAUGAAAAAAUUAUUGAUAAAUAAAUAUAUAUUACUAUUGGGAGGGCGGUAGAACCGACACUUUCCCAUUAUAUAAGUUAUCACAUUGUGAGCAAUAUAACUACGCCACUAUUCAAGAUAUAAUAAGAUGGGUUUUAAAAUCAUACCACCAUUUUUAUUAAAAUAAUAUAUGUUACAACGUGAUGGGCAAUGAAACUACACCACCAUAAAAUAAUAGGAUGAGAGAUAAAACCGUGUCAUUCCAAAACAAACACGAAUGAAACAAUAAAAAUUGUGAGCAUACAAAAAAGAAAGUUUGCAUGUUGUCGUAAUAGUAAAGUGAGAGUAGACAUAUGACAGAGAAAUAACCACAUAGUGUUUAGCUGGAAAAAUUUAGAGGUAAAGGAGAGAGACUAUCUUGCUGAUAAUGUGUUAUAAAAUAAACAGAGUAUGAAAGUGCCACUGAGUAUUGGGGUGGAAUGGUAUUUACUCUUGUGGUAUACACUGAUAGAACUUUCUCCCUCAGAUAAAAUUCUUCUAACUCUUAGAUCUUUCACUCUCUUUUCUCUCUUUUUCUAUUUUCUCUUUGGAUCAGUGUAUCUUUUUCUUCAGGUAAGGAUCCCUUUUAUAGAGAAAGUUACAAGAGCAAAGCAGUUAAUACUUUACGGAAGAAUUGGAGGCGAAAACAUUUCACCCACCAAAACACUAUUUCACUUACAUCAAUCUACCAUUGCACAUACAAAAAGUCUUGCUACAUCUACACACACGUUUCACAAUACUUUAUCUCUUUUAUUUUUAUUUUUUUCAGCCGACACCGUCCCGUUCUUUUUAUUUUUUCUCCUCCUCCUUUCUUUCUACCUCUUCUCUCUUUUCUCUUUUCUUCCUUCCCAGGCCUGUUCCUUGAUUUUUUUUUUCUUCCUUCCUCUUAUGGUAGGGUCGAUCGACUGGGUGGUGGUGCGAUUAGCAGGUGGGUGGUCUGUUAUGGUGAUUGUGGUUCGAUUGGCUGAUAGUGGUUGUUAGGUCAAGAAAGGGAGAGAGAAGAAAAGGGCGAGCGAGGGGGAGAGAAGAUUUUUAUUUUUUGUUCUGAUAAGGAGAGAAGAUUGAGAGAGAGAUUGACAACAGUGAGCAGCGGGAGCUGUUCUUUUUCAACCUCCCUUGUUUUGAGCAUUUCCCGUGAGAAUGAAAACAUAUUUUUUCUAUUCUCUACAAGUACAUGUGAACUUGUUUUCAUUUUAUGAAAACAUUCUCAGUGUUUUUGGCCUGCCGAACGGGUUCUUGCCGUGUUUUUGUUCUAUGAAAAUGAAAACAACCCUUUAAAACUUAACCGAACAAGAUUUUGUAUACCAAAUAAAAAGUGCCCUAUAACGUAUUCACUAAAUGAUAUGGGAGUACAAAUUUCAGUAUAUUACUUAUUAAAAAGAAGAAUGAGGUCCACCUUACGUUACGUGAUGAAUAAACAGUUCAUGUUUUAGAUCAAUUGCCGUAGAGGUAUGAUAGAUUCAUAAUAACAAAACGGAAAAGAAAAAAACACACAUAUCAAUUCAUAAGGUUUAGUAUGUCAAAAAUUCCCCAAAAAAUAUCGAGCUCCUUAAGAUAUCAACUAUCUAAAUUAGAGAUAUUUAGUGAUAUACCCAUUUCUAGCACUAAUAUUAUAAAUAAACCCUACACAAUUGAAUUUCUAUAAACAAACCCAAAAAAAAUUCAAAAGAUGAUAGCUGGCCUUAUUGAAUUUAAUAUUGAUUAUUAAAUUACUUUGAUGCCCUAUUGAGUGUUUUGGGUAUUUUUAUGAGAUUUUGGGGUUGGGCUUGUUUUAAGAAAUUGAUGGUAGUUUUGUAAUUUAUAAGAAGUUAAAAGCUUUUUUGUUAUGUUGUAAAUGGGCUUUAGGUGUGUUCUAAAGUCUAUUUCAUAUAGGGUAUUUUUAUAAUUUGGGCCCCCAUAUUGGGUAUAAUAGUGAAUUCCCCUCUAAAUUACUUGCAUUAUAGGAUGUGAUAUUAAGAGCAGCAUUCCAAUUACAAAAACAAAUAAUCCAACAAAAACAAAAGGACGUUGAAUUCUAGUGUAAAAAUAUGAACACAAAUGAUGGCAUUAUGGGCCUAACCUACUGAUAGCUUGCCUUCCUGGAAUGGGCUUUGUCAGUAUCUUAAAUAUAAUUACAACUGGACCACGCCCUGAGCACAUUAUUUUUGCCUAAACUGAGUAGGAAUAAGUUUAUAAUAAUAGAAAGCUAAGUAUGGCCUGAUUUCUUGAACGACAAUUGUGUAGAUUAUAAGUAUGGCCUAAAUAUAUUAUAUAAUUAAAUUUUAGAGACAAAAUAACCAGAAAGUUCUAUAUAUCAUAAAGAACAAUUAUGGAAUUUUCAAGGCAUUUGGUUCCAGAAAGAAAUUUAUGGAAAAUCAUUCUCCUAUCUUUCUCAGAUAGGACCAUGCUGCAAGACUCUUUUUCCCGUAUUUGAUCAUGCUGAGAAAAUAACCAUAGAAUGUCACUUUAUUCUCUUUACAUUACAGCCCUAAAUUAGCAAUAUGUAAUUAUAAAAACUUAAAAUAUAACUAAUGUUUGCAUCGAUUUCCAAUAGGAAUUGAAAAUGGAACCCGAGCUCGAUGGAGGUUUCAUUUUCUCCCUAAGUAGUCAGUCUCGUAAGUCAAGAUAAAUUUUUCCAAAUAUGAACUUACCAAACAUGAAAAACAAUAACAAUAAUAAUUGAUUUUGCAUUCUCAAACCCCUUUUCCUAUUAACCAACACCUCUAGGUUAAUGACAUUUCAUAAAAGUCAUCACGUACUCCUCUAGGUGCAUUUUCUCCUUAUUUUGUUAUCUAGGAGGAUUGGAUGAUUUUUUUUUUUUGGAGUGCCAAUAAUAGCUUUCUUAUUGAAAACCCAAAGGUUUUUUUUUUAAUCAAUAAUUAUUCGUAUGUAGCCACCCUAGAACUCCAUCAAUGACUUUAGAUAAUGUAGCAUCUAAAAUGCACCCUAAAAACCUUGUACGUUAAGCCUCUUGUCCAACAUCAUUGUUCCUGUAGAAUGAUUUGAGUGAACACUAGCCAAUGUCAUAAUAAACGAGAAAUUAUUGUAUAGAAAGCCCACACAACCGUCAUGAUAGGCUUCAGAAUAAUGUGGGACUAUGAUUAUAACUGCAAGUGCAACAAUGAAGGAUCUUGCAAAUAAGUGAAAAAAUUGCAUGCUCCAAGUGCCCACCAAAAUUGCCUCAUGCUAUGCUUGCUUUCUUCAUGCUUAUAAUUUAACGCCUACUCUUUGUUUAGGUUGCUAUUUGCUACAAUGGUUUCAUAGGUCCUUGAGAUUUUGUAUUGAGAGUAUAUUCAUGUACUGACUUCUUCUAUUCUUCUCUAAGCAAGAACUCUCUCUGUGGAUUUGGAUCCACUGAGCUACUAUGCUUUAGGUCUUUUGCCAUUUCUAGCUAGUUGUUCAUCUAAAAAAUUAAAUAAAAAGUUGGAAGUUAGCCCUUUCAAAAACGGAAUUAAUUGAUCCACUAUGAACUCUGGCUUUUUCCCGCUUUUUAUAUAUAAUUCCCCUUGUUAGAGCAUUUUCAACGGGAGAGGCUAGUCCGGGCAAGAGGCCUACUAGGCUCCCAAUCCCGUUUCCAACGCCCAAUUCUUGCAAGGGAAAGUGCUGGGCUCCACCAGCCUGGGCUACUGCCGAGGCAAGAUGACUUAAUGCUGACGUCAUUGUGACGUCAGCAACCAAUUUAAAUAACCAAAAAAUUGAAGAAAAAAAAAGGAAAAAAUUUUCAGAAUUUUUUAUUUAUAAAUACCUAGUCAUAUUCUUCACUACCCACACCAAAACUCUAUACAAAUUCCUCUCAUCUCCUCAUGUCUCAUGUGAAUAGUGGUUGCCCUUAGGUUGCCAUGGCAAUGGGUGGAAAACCAACAAAACAAUUGCUAGGGUAGACAAUAUUCAUGUGAAUAAUAACAGCUCUUGCCUCCCUUUGCCUUUUACCAUGGCAAAUGGGUGGAAAUGCUCUUAAAUACAAAUUAAGCAUACAUGGGCUUAGCUAAGUUGACUAGAGUGGGUGUGCUCUUCAUUCUACACUCGAGUUUAAAUUCCCUUUCUCAUAAUUUAAAUUAGAUUAAAAUAGAAUAUCUUUUGUAUAAAAAAAAAGGGCAAACUAAACCCUAACAAAGCCCACUUCUUACUCAAAAUCUAAUGCCUUCCACUCUCUGAUGCUAAGCAACAUUCAAGUGGCAGUACUUACAAACUGUAGAUGAAAGGUCGAUGAACAACCAGCUGGCGAUUGGUUUGGCUGUUCCUGGCUUAAUGAAUUGGUUUUUAAAUUUCGUGGUCCUCUUAAAGAUGCAAAUGGGUUAAGCCCUUUCAUGGUCCUAAAACCUAAUGGACCUCCACCACAUGGGUUUUGAUACUCCAAAAACCAGCAAAUUCCAUUGAAAUGCUGAAAGCUUCAAAGACACGUAUCCUUGAAGAGUGCCAACAAGAUUGGAGCUUCAUUAAUUACUUUAAUUUGAUAUGAGAAAAUAUACGUGCAACACUCACAUCAUUAUCCCUUAGGAAUGUGACAAUGCACAAUAGAAUUAUAGCUCAAAUGGUUAAAAAUAAUUAUUUAUAUAUCUAAAAAAUAAUAAAUUUUCACACCUAAUUUGUGAUCUCGCACUUUUUUUUAUUAAUCCUUUUAAAUAUAUUUACACGUCUAAUUUUAGAGUGCAAGAUAUAAGAGUAUGAAACAUUUUAUAUAUUAAAAUAAACGAUUUAAAGAACUUGACAAGAGAUAUUAUAUUUAGUGCAAUUUGGUCUCAUAAUUUUAUAACCCUCCAUUUUCAACAUCACCCUUCAAUGAUUAUUCCUGUUAAAAAUAUACAACAUUCGAAAUUAUAUACCAAUUUGAUUAUUAUGAUGAUUAUAUCUAAAUUUUAUGUGAUAAAUAUAUUCAUUAGAUCCUAUUUUCCCAACAAUAUGAUAUACUUUGUCAAUGUAACACGUUUGUUCUUCGAUGUUCACAUAAAAAAUCAACUUGCUCAUACACUAUAUAAUAAAGGAACUUGUAGUUUUAAUAGUUCAAAUGUACCUCUACACUGGAUGUUUUAUGUUCAAUUCUCUAUUAUUCAAAUAUCGUCAGUAUUUAAAAAAAAAAAGAACAUAAUGGGUCCCAUUUCUAAUACUAGAAUAGCCAUUUACAAUUCUUUCUAAGCUUUACCUGGACACAUGACAUUGAGGAUACAUUUCAUAUAUUGCUCUAAUUUUAACUGCAGCAUAUCUAAAUAAGGGCCAUUCUUCCUCAUGCACUUCAUUUAAUUUAUAAACGUGCUUGACAAGAUCGAUUCAUAAAAAACAAAAACAAAAAAACAAAAGAAAGAUCGAUUCAUAAAACUUCGAAAAAAUAAAGAUCUUCUUCUUCCCUCCCCUUCCUUCUACCCCUCUCUGCCUGGCGACCAUUGUAUUGCAAUUUGCAAUGGCACACCAUGUGGGCCAUGGCUAUCAACCCAAAGCAUUAUUAGUUGAUUAAUGAGAAUAUUCAUUAUUAUAGAGAAAUGUUAUUUUGAGUUUUAAUAGAAUUAGCCGUACUCCUUUCACAUCUUGUGGAAAAUACACAUGACAGCCGAAAAGAAAAUCCAUCCUCUUAUUAUCCCAAAAAACCCACCUCUAAUUCGUGCCCUACGAAAUAGGUAAAUUUAUUUUUGAUGCAAUUUGUUUCUUUCUUUUUUUGUAGCAUGAAAAGUCUACACACUAGUGCUCAUCUGAUACAAGACUUUAUGGUAAGUAAGCUAGACUGUUGUAAAUCACAUGCAUCAUAUAACUCCUUUUUUUUUUUUGGUUUGGUGAACAAAAGUUUAGAGAGGAAUUGGCUAUUCUUACCACUAACGCCAAGGCAGACUCACAAUCUUGAACCGGAAGGACUUAUGCGUGGCACCUAACUGCCAACUGCCACUUGCCACCUGCAACCUGCCACCGAUAUGAAUUUAUAUAAAAAACCUACCACAUGCAUCAUAUAACUCAUUUUAAUUAUCAUCAAAUUUAUGCUAAUAAAGUUAAGAUUCGAUUCCUUUCCAUUGUAUAAAAAAAGAAAAGAAAAAUGUUAUCUUUCGUUUCAUCAAAAGAUAAGACUGUUAAGAAGGAAAAUUAUAGCUCAAACUAUCACUAUGUAGUUGAUGUUGCUCUAAAUUAAACACGUGCCAAGCAUUAAUAAUAUUAUUUCCACAUUAACCACAAGAAGUUUUAGCAUAUGCUUCAAGCAUUUAUCACCUUUCCAUGUAUGUUGGAGCUUUUUAAUAAAUAAAUAAAUAAAAUCACAUGUUAAUUUGUGGAUUGCAAUUCAUUUGUGACCUCACAAAGAUCUAUACGCACAACAGAACAAAUACAUAUUUGCUGAUCAGUGAUCACAGAGAUGGAGAACUCAAAACCAAGUCAAUCAAUAUCAAUUUUUAUUUAUCAUACAUCAUUACAUCCUCUUUGCAAACCCUAAUUUUAAUAAAUAUUGCGACUGCAUAAAACACUAAUUUUAUAUCUCUCAUUUUUUCUUCUUCUUAUUUCUAACACCAACCAAAUAGUUUCUAAAGUGAUACUCUAUAUAUAUAUAUAUAUGGAGGGUCUUGCAAAAGAAAAACUUAGUUGCAACGGGGAUAUCACUGUUUUAUCAUCUUCGAUCAAUAAUAUUAUGUCACGUAAAAGUAUUAUCACAUGUGUCAUGGCGUUAUUGACGAAAGAAACAAAUCCUAACUUCAAACCAAAUAAAUACCAACGCAUCAAUUGACAAGACUAAGCACAUGGAAAUUCCUAAUACACUUUGGUGAUCAACCUCCAUGUGAUGUUGAUUGGACUAUACCAUAUUACACCAAAGUACCAAUUUUAUCAAUUUCUGUUCAGAAGUUCCUCUAUCAUCUGCAAUGCAACCCUUUCCUCGUCAUUCAUACUAUCAUCCCCACCAUCCUGCCCUGCUGCCAUUUCCUCUGUGUCCAAAGCAGAGGUGCUAGUUUCUGGCUGGGGUGGUUGCAAACUCUUCUGGCCCAGCUCAACCAUCAUCAGCCAGUUCGAAUCAGAGUGCGGCCCCGCACCCUUUUGCCAGACUCCAAUGUGAGAAUUCUCAGUAUCAAGCCUCAGGCAAGUGAGGGAAGGAGAUGGGGACUUGCAGCACUUGCGAAGUUUGGCACUGAGGAUUGCUGAAAGUGCUGAGGAAGAAGAUGAUGAAGAGUUGUUGUUAUGAUCAUUGGACACUUCAUUUGUGAGGACUGGAAAGUUUGUUUUGGCAUUUCGACCACUCAUCAAAAUAGCUGCCUCAUCAUAAGCUCUUGCUGCCUCUUCAGCUGUCUCAAAUGUCCCAAGCCAUACCCUUCUUUUCCUGCAUUAGCAUAAAUUUAAAAUUUUAAAAAGAAAAUAAAAGAAAAUUUAAUUAAUGAUACUAACUAAGGAUCAAAUCAAUGAAUUGACACUUCUUUCACAUUUCCUAAUUAGGCCCUUAAUUAGAACACCUACUCGUGUGUGUUUGUGUGGAGAUAUAGUUUGCCCCAUAAUAAUUAACUAACAAACUUUGUCACGCAUACUAAAUCUAUAAACUAAAUUGGUACUUAUGUCUUUUCCUAUAACCAAAACCCAAAAUUAAGACCAUACACUAAACAAGUAAUUAAGGCACCACCACCAUGCUAUAAUGGGACUCUUUUUUUACAAUUGAAGAACACAUAGAAUCAAGAACUAGAAAAAUAUAUGUAAAGUAUAUAUAUAUAUAUAUAUAUAUAUAUGUAAUUGUGCUCUUAAAGAAUGGAAGUAUACGGUGAAUAGUUUGUUGAGAAAACAGCAAUGGAAUUAAUGGAGGGGGGUUGGUAGGAAAAGAGAAGAAGAGAAGCAGAGAAUACAGUAAUGGAUGACGAAUCUCAGAAACCCAGGAGCCCCAGUGGCGUUGCCUGACCCCUCUAAACUUCCUUGAUUGUACCAUUUUUGUCAGAGAGAGAGAGAGAUAGAGAGAAACAGAGGGAGGAGGGAGUGAGGGAGGGAGGGAGAGAGAGCAGUUUAUGGAAGCAGUGUCAUAAAAAAUGUGGGAGUUGUGCUUUCAAUAUGAAAUAAUAAGCUCGUCAUCGGGACAGUUAGACAGUAACAUCUGCUUUUAAUUCUUCUUUUUCUGUUUCUUUUUCUUUUUCUCUAAACAAGCUAGUUGAUUCUAGCUUUUGUUUUGUGAGGCCGAAUUGAAAAGAGUAAGUACAAUCCCAACCGAAACAAAGUCAAACCAAAUUUGGCUUCUUCCACUGGCUUUGUUUCAGUACUAAUAUUGACACUAUACUAUAAGAAUGAGAUUUGGGGAUUAUUUAGCAUUGUUUUUUAAAGGGUCAAAAACCUUUCUUUAACAACCAAGAGCAUUUUUUAACAUUGAUUGGUAAAAGAGAUUCUUAGAUUUAGGUCCAAAAUGAUUAGUUGUCAUUGGAUUUAGCUCCCGCGUUUUUUGUUUUAGACGUAGGCCCUUUGAUUUUUAUUACUUUUUUUUGUUGUGUCGAUUUUACCUUUUGAGGUAAAUAAGGAAAACACAUUGAAAUCUAAAUUUAAUGCAUUAUUUUCCUUAUAAUUGAAUUUCUGAAUUUAAAUUUUGAAUUCUUUCCUUUAUAAUAUUUACCUAAUAUAUGAAUAAAAUAUAAUUUAAUCAAUGAAAAUAAGGCAAGCACUCACAUGAAAUUAUGUACCUAACAUACAGGUAAAUAAUGUUAUUAUUAGCAAUGAAAAAAACUUAGUGAUAAAUCGUGUUACCUAUAAGUCAGGAACAUAAAUUAGAAGACUACCUAUAAGUUAUGAACAUAAAAUAAAAGAUUACCUAUAAGUCAGAUACAAAAUAGACAAAUAAAAUUGCAUGUUACCUGUAAAAAAAGGUACAUAAAAUACUAUUAUACAUUGUCGAAAAUAUGAAGGAAAAAAAAACACAUAUAUACCUAUGCAAUAGGCAAUAAGACAAUAUACACACACUAUAGGAUAAUAUAUCUAUAAUAGUAUAUAAUAUACCUCUACCAUAGAAUAAACAAAAGUAAAAAUUGUUACCUACUCAUGUACAUAAACUAAAACACCUACGAUCCACCAAGUCGAGAGCAUAUGCCUUUGGUUGGAUUUAUUUACCUCAUUUGUGGGUCAUGAAAGUAUGUAUGAGGCUUAUUCACUUUCACCCAUCAAAGAAAUAACUCUCAGGAUUGUAAUAAGAAAGAAGAAGAUUAACAAGAUGAAUAAGAAAGACAAAGAAAACCCAUAGAAUGACAUCAACAUUACACCAAAGGGCACGUUUAUAGGAAAAAAUUUUUGUGGUUAUUUUUAUAGGCUUUUCAAAGUUCAAAUGAAUUGGUAAGAAUAAAUACAAAUAUUUUAUAAAUUCAAAUCAUAAUUAUUUAAAAGGUCAAAUAUAAUAAUUAUUGGCCAAAAAUUAAUUUCUUACCCCUUUAUGAAUUGCAAUAAGAGUCAAUAGAUGUAUUAAUUAGCUAAUUAUUAUGAUAUAAAUCAGUCUUUCUAGAUUUAAAUCAUAGGGGCAUAAUUGGAAUAGAAACAUAAAAUUUAAAAGAAAAUAUAUAUAUGAUUACAUCAGAAAAUUAAAAAUGUAAUGUAAUCUUAUGUGGCAUUCAAGUCAGAGUACUUGUAUCAACAACAUAAAAUCCGAAGAUUAAACCCAAUUCUUAAAUGAGAAUUUGAAUUUAUGUCAAAUUUUCUAAAAAAUUAAUUAAAGUGUUUAUAGGUUAUAAAAGCGCUUUCUCUUUUUCACAAAAAAAAUUGUCAAUUAAACUAUCUUUAUUAAAACACACUUAAUUGAUUUAAUUGAUGUGGCAUAUGAUAUGGACAUGUCACAUCAUGUGGUAUAGAAAUGUAGGAUAAAAAUGUGAUAAGUGUAGUAUUACUCAUAUAAUAUACCGCUACCAUAGAGUAAACAAAAGUAAAAAUUGUUAUCUACUCAUGUACAUAAACUAAAACACCUACGAUCCACCAAGUCGAGAGCAUAAAAACAUACAUACGUUACUUUACCUACACAAUAGGGUAAACUUAGGUAUCUACAACAUAGGUAAUUAAACAUCGUAUGCCUUUGGUUGGAUUUAGUUACCUCAUUUGUAGGUCAUGAAAGCAUGUAUGAGGCUUAUUCAAUUUCACCCAUCAAAGAAAUAACACUCAGGAUUGUAAGAAGAAAGAAGAAGAUUAACAAGAUGAAUAAGAAAGACAAAGAAAACCCAUAGAAUGACAUCAACAUUACACCAAAGAGCAGCUUUAUAGGAAUUUUUUUGUUUGUUAUUUUUAUAGGCUUUUCAAAAUUCAAAUGAAUAGGUAAGAAUAAAUACAAAUAGUUUAUAAAUUCAAAUAAUAAUUAUUUAAAGGGUCAAAUAUAAAUUAUUGGCCAAAAAUUAAUUUCUUACCCCUUUAUGAAUUGCAAUAAGAGUCAAUAGAUGUAUUAAUUAGCUAAUUAUUAUGAUAUAAAUAUGUCUUUCCUGAUUUAAAUAAUAGGGGCAUAAUUGGAAUAGAAACAUAAAUUUUAAAAGAAAAAAUAUAUAUGAUUACAGCAGAAAAUUAAAAAAAAGUAAUGUAAUCUUAUGUGGCAUUCAAGUCAGAGUAUUUGGAUCAACAACAUAAAAUCUGAAGAUUAAACUCAAUUCUUAAAUGAGAAUUUGAAUUUAUGUCAAAUUUUCUAAAAAAUUAAUUAAAGUGUUUAUAGGUUAUAAAAGCACCUUCUCUUUUUCACAAAACACUUUAAAGUAGUUUUUCAAAGAGUACAGAAUUUUUAAUAAAAGUUGUAACGUUUCUAAUUAAAACGCUUAUAAACAGAAGUACUUAUUACACAGACAGCUCUGAACAUGCUCUUAAUUUACAAGGAUGGUCCUCCUAUCCAAAGGAGUGAAUUCUAUAAAAAUAUGACAUAGUUUUUGCUUUUGAGGGACCCAUUUGGACAGCUCGACUUUUACCAAAAAUAAGAAAGAAAUUGAUUGUUGAUCGCAGAUUUUGUUGCUAACGUGCAAUAAAACUAAGAAUCAGUCUAUUAUAAGUUGCAACUUUAUUAGGUUAUAGGAGAUUUUGCAAGCAUAUAUUGUAGUUUUUAUUACAUGAAGACUACAGAAGCAGCUGUUAGCUCCACAUACCUUUGAAAGAGGCUUUGUACUUUACACCAAAGUGGGCAGUUAAUAAUUGUCAUGAGUUAAUUGUAAACCAUCAAUUUUAUGUUCAUAACUUAUAACAACUCUACACUUGAGGGAAAAAGUCGGGCAACUUUUGGAUCUAUCUUCUGAAACUUGUUGAAGUAUAUAGUAUAGGUAAGAAAGCUAAAUUAUUUGUCAUUUGAGAUUACCUACCUAUUGCUAGUUGCAUUGAAUGGAAAAAUAAUAAUUUAGUUUCGUCCUUUGCAUAGCAACAUUGGUGAUUUUAUGGUUUCAUCAUGGUUGGAGGGAUAUUUAGGGAGAAAAAUACAUGUUUUCUUUAACUCAUUAUGCACAAUGCUCUCUAAAUUGUUAUUCUUUUCAAAUCCUACUCAAUUAGGGAUCAUUAUUUAACUCGUGAUUUGCGAGUAAUUAUUGGUUGUUCCGGGUAUACCAUGUGGUUGAUAUACAAUCCAGUAGACGUAGAACAUGUAGAAUAUUUUCACUGUAGCUAGCCACAUGUUAUAAAAAGUAAUGCAGUAAGUUGAAGAAUAAUUUCACAUGUCUUAUGUAUUUUGAAAUUUUCUCGUAAUCUGUAUGCCAAAAAGAACCAACCCAAACCCGUGAUAUCCAAUAUAAUUGAAUAUUAAUAAAUUAAGCCUGAAUAUAGUUGACUAUAUUUUCAUUUUCUAUAUAUAUAUAUAUUAAAAAAAAAGAUAUUUUCAUGAGCGGCCCCAACCCAACCUAAUAGCUUGAAAAAGCUCGGCUCAUGUGGAUGAGCUUGGACUAUUGAAACCCAAAUCCGACUCAACCCAACAUAAAAUAAUGUCUAUCCCAAUAGUCCGGUCCAAGCUACCCAUCCUCGAAUGCUAACUACAAUGUAAUUGCAAUCAAGUACAUUCAACCACUACCUAUACAGUAUUAGGAGUAAUAUACUAGGUCAAACAUUGUCUUAUACAUACAAACAAUAAUGAAUCGCGUCGCAAUCCGACAAUACAAUAUAUAACAAACUAUCUUGUAACCUAACAUUACUCCCAAUCCAAACAUAUAGGUAGUGGUUGUAGUAAUUAAGAAUUUGAUUGCACACAUAUAUAAUUACAUUACAUUAAGCAAAAAUAAAAGCUCAGCUAUAGAUCAAUGAGGAACACCACCCCCCCACCUCCUCCCCUAACCCAAACGGAGGCACUAGUUCGUGAUAUGCAUUAAAGUGACGUUUUGAAGCAAGUUCAUAGGCACCACUAAAAUAUGCAUAAGCUUAAUUAGUCAUUGGGAAAGCACAUGUCUACUAAGUUAGGCUAUGCACCAAUUUGCCAACCACUGAUUUUACUGGUCCUGACAACUAGAAGAAGAAAUUUUCAGUUAUGAGAGGUUGACGAUGGCCCAGAAUAUGCUUUUUGGGUUGGUUGAGGUUGAAAGGUGGAGGAUCUGCAACGUUGGGUAAGUAGCUUAACCCAUAACCAAUGUUAAAGAAUUUGCCAUACCCAAUUUCUUUCAAGUCAAAAAGUGUAAUUAAGUUGAUCGCAUCGCAUUCGCAGUACACAGAUCAUAAUGGGGUUUUUACCCUUGGGCAAUUUACCUAGACUCAAACCAAAAACAGGCCUUUCAAGUAAGAUUUUACUACUUUCGACCUAGAAAGAGAACGACUAGAUUUUACUACUAUAAACUAGCAUUCCUAGGGACAAAUCAAAACCUUUUUUUUUCCUUUUUAAAAUCAUACGAUUGCGUGGGGAUAUUUUGCACUCAAUUUCUUACUGCCUAUAUCUAUCAUUUUAAUGAAUUUCCACUUUUUCAAUUUUACCCAUACAGUAGCAAUAAAGGAUAAACUACUUUAGAAAAGGGAGCAUUUUUCUCACCUCUACUCUUAAAGAGUGACGUCUGUUAUAUUGUUAACUUUAGUUAACUUUUAUGUGAGAAUAAAUAAAUAAAUUUGAAAAAGGAUUCACAACACAAAUCCCGAUUCUCUCUCCCUCUUUUUUCCUCAUUAGUCACAUACCUCACCACAACCCCCCGCCCUUGGUGCGGUUUUUGCUAAAAUAGAUUUUUUUUUUUUUGGUUCAAAUAUGUGCAUCUAGAUUUUUUUUGUUCAAAUAUAUGGUGGUUGUUUUGGUGUUGUUGUAUGGGAUGUGUUAGAGCUUUGGGUGCAGUGAGGGCAGAGAGAGAAGUCAAGGGAGAGAGAAUGGGAGGUGGUGUGAUUUGUGAGGAGGACAUGGAAGGCUGAGAUUUGGGGAAGAAGGGCUUGUAGAGAGAGAGAGAGAGAGAGAGAGAGGUGUGACAGUGGUGGGGGUGGGUUUUUUUUUUUUUUUUUUUUUAACUUUAUUGUUAUCAUUGUUAUUUCAAAUUUCAAAUUAUUUUAUUUUACUUUAACAUAUAAAUGACCAAUUUGCUCUCAUAUUUAACGACAAAUUGGAUGAAAUGUUGAAAAUUUAGACGGUAAUAGGGAAAUUGGCGAAAAAAAGAAGUUCAUAUCCUUAAUUUUCUAUAAUAAAAAAAAGAUGUAAAUCAAAAGUUAAGUAGAAAUUCAGGCCAAAUCACCAAUUAACCCUUUUGGUUACAACUUACAAUGUUAAUGUGGGUUAUGGGUCUGACUUUUGUUGUAUAGUUCUUGUGGGUUAUGGUAGGAUAAAAUAUUGUUUCAAGGCACAAGGCACGUAGGUAUCUGUCUUUCAAACUUUAUUUAUACCCCACAACCUUUAGGAGAUAUGCAAAUAUACGCCCUGACUAACACUUUCGACCCAAAAAAAAAAAACCCUUGACUAAUACUUGCACACUCAAAGGCAAAGGCAAACCCAAACACACUAAUGAUGAAUUAGAAAUUGAAACUGCAAAAAUUAGUUUCUAGUGGUUUAGUUUCUCUAGAAAACUCGACCCAAAAAAAAAGAGUUUCUCUAGAAAACAAUGGAGGUAUGGUAGAGAGAGUAUUUUCUUGUUAUAUAUAUAGGUUAUGUUUUCAUGCAUAUGUACAACCUCUAUUUAUAAAGUAUCUAUUCUAGUUGCAGUGGAGUUGGCAUGUAAAGUCUUUAAAUCACCGCUUUCCUUUGGUUGCAUCUCUUCAUUAAGAGGUAGCCUUUCAUGUAAGUCACAACUAUUCAUCAAGAGUUGUGCUCCUUCAAGCUUAUUAAUGAUUUUGAGAUUGUCCUAACGUGAUAAUCAAAUAUGAGAAACAAGGGAAAUCAAAAGACAUAACUGAAAGAUCCAAAAAUCCUUUCUCAAAGGGAAACUUCGUCAGCAUUUCUCAACUAGAAUAAUUUCUGUAUAGAAAAGAAUUGGCGGACCAUGACAUUGAUGCAUAUGCAUGGGAGAGGAAUCAACUCGAUUAAUGGUUCAGAUGAAAAAGUUGGACUGUAUAUAAGGAAAAAAAGGAAGGAAAAAAACACACAUUUCUCCGGUAUGGAGUUGCAAAGAAACCACACCAUCAAUCGAAUGUAUUUCUUUAACACAAGAUUCUGGGAGCAAAUUAUGGAGAAAGAAACCAUAAAACUUCAAAAAAAGAACACCAAACAAAUGGCCCCUAAAAAGAAAAGAAAAAUUAUGAACAUUAGGGUGCCUUGCCUAAGCCCAUAUCAGUAACAAAGACAUGCAGCUAGCCACAAGAAGAAGAGAAUCAGCCCCAAAGUGUUGGUUGAAAAUGAUGAUGAAAAUCCUUUUUCUUUUUCUUUUUUUAAAAAAUAAACUCUUCUGGUUCAAGUUCUAUGCCUUCAAAAAACUGAUUGAAGGACAAGGCUUUAUGAUGUCCGGACUUUCAGAAACACCUGAAGAAAUUCCUAUAAUAAUAGAAUGGACAACAAUCUCCAACCCCAAAACUUGCAACAAAAUAAAAACAACACGAUCAGUACCUAACCACCAAUUAACUAGUACUUAGUAAACAAAAGAUAAUGGCUUAAUUAAUAUUACCUAGGAAAUUACUCUAUGUCUAAGAAGUUCAAUUGUAGUUGAAAGUGUAAACUGCAACUGAACCAUGAGCAUGAACAUGAGUUGCUUAAGUAUGGAGAAGCAUUUGAAGUUGAUGCUCGUCCACAUCACCACUACUUCAAGAGCUUGUCCAUACUCACACAACUCUUGCUCAUGUUCAUAGUUCAGUUGCAGUUGACACUUUUCAACUACAACUGAACUUCUUACGCAUAAAGUAAUUUCUCAGGUAAUAUUAAUUAAUCCAUUAUGUUUUAUUUACUUACAAGUACUAGUUAAUUAGUGGUGAAGUACUAUUGUUUUGUUUUUAUUUUGUUGCAGGUUUUGGAGUUGGGGAUUGUUGUCCACUCCAUUAUCAGGAAUUUCCUUAGGUGUUUCUGGAAGUCUGGCCACCAUAAGACCUUUAGUAGCUGCCUUGGCCUGCCAUCAAUUUUUGAAUGCAUGGGACUUGAACCAGAAGACUUUCUUUGUAAAAAAGAAAAAGAAAAAGAAAAAAAAAGAUUUCAUUCAUCAUUUUCAACAACACUUUGGGGCUAAUUUAUUCUCUCUUCUUCUUGGGGCUGGACGCAUGUCUUUAUUAGCCAUAUGGGCGUAGGCAAGGCAGGCUAAUGCUUAUAAUUUUUAUUUCCUUUUUUGGGCCAUUUGUUUGGUUCUUUUUCUGAAUUUUUUUUGUUUUCGUUCUCUAUAAUUUGCAUAAAAUGAUGUAGCUUAAUUCUAAGAAUCUUGUGUAAAAGAAAUACCUUCAAUUGGGUGUAGUUUCUUUGCAACUCCAUACCAGAGAAAUGUGUUUUUACCUUCUUUUUUUCCCUUCACCGGGCUUGGUUGCUGCCGUUGGCACUUUGACGGUGGAUGCCUACGCCACUUCUUAUUACAGCUGGUCUCACUCCAAGAACAAUAACUCUCAGCCUACAGAGAGUGGUGGUGAUGUGGAAGAGCACGGGCAUGUCCUGGCAACCGGGGGUCAUAUUGGCCACUGCCGUGCCUUAAGGAGAACCCGAAAACCAGCUUCGGUAGAAGAGAGAGAGAGAGAGAGAGAGAGAGAGAGAGAAGAGUUGAAGGGGUGGUACCAGCUUAUAUAGGAGAGAAAUUCGUUGUAUCAACUACAACUGAACCAUGAGGUAAUAGAAUUGUGAGUUUGAAUUCAGAGUAUGAGACUGAGGAAGUGUCAAGUGUCAACAUCCCUCACUCUCAUACUUUGAAUCCUCGCUCUCACAAUUCUAUUAGCUCAUGGUUCAGUUGCCUACGCCACUUCUUAUUACACAGGUCUCACUCCAUGAACAAUAACUCAGCCUACAGAGAGUGGUGGUGAUGUGG